GAAAUUACUAAAACCCCAAAUCGUGAUUUCAUCCUGAACCCCCAAACCUACUCCCAUCGAUACUUCCUGUCUGGCGAUUCCAACCUCUCAGGCGAGGAGCAAGCAACUUCCUUCACCGUUUCCUGUCCAUUCCUGUCCGGCGAGCAAUUUCCCGUUGAUACCUCCCGUCCAUUCCUGUCCGGCGAGCAACUUGCGGCUACAUCUCCAGUUCUGUCCGGCAAGGUUAGGCUUCCAUCCGGCGAACGUCGACGACUUCGGUUAGGCUUCCAUCCGACUCAGGUUAGACUCCACAACCCAUCUUUGGGUUCUGAAUUUUUUUCAAUGUUUAAUCAAUAUCGAUUUAGGUUUUCCAUUUCACUUUCUUUCCAUUUCAAAAUUCUUUGGGUUUUCCUUUUCCCGAAAUUAAAAUCUCAACUAGUAUAUCCAGAAAUUAUCACCUAUUUUCCCCAGUACAUGUCCCCCAAUAUAGUUUAGAGUUUAGAAAAAUAAAUUGUGUAUUUCCCCAAUACGCAAUUACAACUGGAGUGUUGUGGGAAUUAAGGGAUUGAGGAUUGAUUCUCUCCAUUAAUGACUCAUAAAUCCUUUAUUGCCCAACUCUAAAUUACUGUCUCAUACCAUCUGUCUAUCUAUCUAUUAGUUGAUGUUAUACCAUCUGUAACAGUUUUAUACAACCAGAAGAGCUUGCAGAGACAACCAUGUCUGACUUUUCCCUCCAGUAUACACUGGAAACGAAAUGUCCAUUGUCAUAAGCACUCUCUUGGUUGGAUAUUGGAUCUAUAGAACUAAACUUGUGUGAAGUUACCAAAUUUCUGUUAAUAAUUAAGCAAGAAGCUAAAAAUAAAAUGAUUUCUUAUUAAUGAAUUACAAUCAGUUUUUAAAGUUUAAUGACACUUGAAAUUGAAAAUAUAUAGUUUUAGUUUGUAGAUAUAUGACAUUGUAGUGUAUAAAAAUAGAAAGAAUGAGAAGAAAAAUCAUACUUCAUUGAUAUUCCAAAGUUUGACAGGAACAAUAUGAAAUCCGAAUGUUGGAUUUUAAAAUAGGAAUAAUAUUAAAAUAUGUAAACAUGAAUAAUUAGGAAUAAUCAAAAACAGAAAUAAUUAGGAAUAAUCAAAAACAGGAAUAAUCAAAAAACAAAGUAGCCAUGCUUAUUCCCAUAUGUUGGGUUUUAAAACCAAAACCCCUAAAACUUGAAGUUAAAAGCCCCAAAUCAUGUUUUGAAGUUAAAAGCCCCAAAUCAUGUUUUGAAGUUAAAAGCCCCAAAUCGUGUUUUGAAGUUAAAAGCCCCAAAUCAACCUACUCCCUCCCGUUGAUACUUCCUGUUGUCCGGCGAGCAGCAGCGAUACCUCCAGUCCGGCGAGCAGCAGCGAUACCUCCUGUCCGGCGAGCAGCAACGAUAUCUCCAGUCCGGCGAUACCUCUAGGCCAUUCCGUUUAUUUCACCUCCAGGUAAGAUCGAUUUGUUUCUAUUCUUGAUUCAUAUGUUUACUUCACCGAUUAUUUAUGUUUUUGUUCUUGAUUCUAUUUUUAAUAGUUGUUCUUCAUUAUUCCGUUGUUGAUUCUAUUCUUAAUAGAUGUUUUUCUUUUUUUCUGUUGACUUUGACAUGGUUCAAGAGCAUCAUCCCUCAUGUCUAGUGGCCAUGGUUUAUGACAUGGUCAUAGACUAUAGAUAAGAAUCUGUAGAACCAAAAUGUCUCUUUCUUGUGUUGUAUGAAUCUAAGCUAGGAUGCUGGUCCUGAAAUAAAUCUCUAAGUUCUCCUCAAAUUCUGAAGAAUUCUCUUGCAUAAUAGCCUCUUGCAUAAUAGUCUAUGUGUUUGUAAAUCCUUAUCUGUGUGUUGACUCUCACCUAGCUGAAGUUCGUCUAAGAAUAAUAAAUAUUUAGGCACAUAAACUGACUAGAUGAUGACAAAAAUAUGUUAUAUGUUGCUGGUAUUUUAAAUAACUUUAUUUCCCACUUCAUUAUUUAAGCCAAUGAUCUAUUUGGAAUUUUAGAAGAAUGAAAUUCAGAUUUGACCAUUAAAUUUCAAGUUUGCUAAAAUAUUUUCAUUUAAAUGAAAACUAAAGUAAUAUUUUCAUAAAAUAUCUUAUCCCUGCUUAUAUGUAUGAAAACUAAAGUAAAAUUGUAAUACGAUUUCAUGUUAUUUAUCCUACUAUGCCAAAAUAAUGUAGUUUGUUUGUAUAUAGAAAAUUAGGCUAGUCAUUAAGAGGUUGCCACUAAGUUUACCCAAAAGAUUUUAAAUGUUAUUUUAUAGUUAUUUCAACCCUAUCCUACUUUUGUAGUUCUAUACUUCUAUUAUCCGUUCUGUUUUCAUGAUUUGUUGUAUUCACAGAUUAUAAAUGGCACCCAAAAAAACAUUGGUUAGUAAGAAACGACGACUUACACGAAGUUCUGUCGACCAUGACGAACCUUCUUCAAGUACUCAUGUUCCGACUGCAACUUUCUAUUGAGAAAGAAAAAGAAAAAGAAAAAAUGAACGAUCAAAUGGAGAAGUUAAUAGAGGUAUAUGUAUGAAAAUCAAUAUAAUUUUAAAGUAAUACAUAAAUAUAAAUGAAUCUUAAAUGUUUUACAGGAUAAUCGAGUUUUAAAAAGAAAAUAUGAUGAAAUGUUUGAUAUAUUUGAAGACCUGAAGAAAACAGUUUUAUCCCAAUCAAAUACAACUCCACAACCUUCAGAUCGUGGAUCGUUGCAGGAUAGAAGUAUUAAUGCAGGUCAGAGCGAUCAAAGAUAUCAAACUCCUCCAUCCAAAUAGGUCUUCCAUGUUAUUUUUGUUGAAUGUUAGUUUUGUUGAAUGUUAGUUUUGUUGAAUGUUAAUUUUGUUGAAUGUUGUUUUUGUUGAAUGUUAGUUUUCUUCAAUGUUGAAUGUUGUAUUUGUUGAAUGUUGUUUUUGUAUUGAAUAUUUGUUGAAUAUUGAAUGAAUUUACAGGAAUUAAUAUUAAUUGAAUGAAUUUACAGGAUUUUGCAUUUAAUUUACAGGAAUACUGAAAUUCCAGAUGCACUGGAAUUCUGGAAUUUUUUUUGCAAAAAAAAAAUUUGUAACGGAAUUUCCGUUACAAAUACUUAAAAUUUUUGUAACGGAUUUUUCGUUCCGUUAACUUUAACUUCAGAGUAUUUGUAACGGAUUUUGGUAUUUGUAACGGAAAUUUUGUCUCGGACCAAAGUUAACGGAAUUUCCAUUAAAAAUUGUAUUUGUAACGGAAAUUCCGUUAACUUUGCUCGUCCUAACUGCCUACUUUUUUUAGUGUAGUAACUAAAUAUAAAACAGAAAGAAAACUAGUUCAAUCCAAUAUUCAUGAUUUAGAAAGACUUAAGAUUGAAAAUGCUACCUUAACAAAAAGAAUAAACUCUAGGGAAAAAGUUGUGGAGCAACUUAAGGAGCAAAACCUAAUUCUUUCAGAUCAUGCUAAAUCUAUGGAAGAACCUUCCAUUCUGCAUCUAGAAGAAAUCAAAAAACUAAAAUGUAAACUAGAUAAAAAGGAAAGCAUAAUUAAAAUACUUAAGGAACAAAACCUUAUUCUCAUAGAUUUGGCAGAACAAGUGGAAGAACCCGCUUCCACACAUCCAGAUCAAAUAGAAAGUUUAACAAACACAAAUCUAGAUCUAAAAUCAAACCUAGAAUUAUCAAUAAAGAACUGACUUUGCAUGAAACAAUGAUUCUAGAAAAUAAAGAUAAAGAAAAAAGGUUGUUACUUGAAAGGGAAGAUCUGGUAACAGACACUAAAUCACAAGCAUCCCAUAUAAAAAAUUUAGAAGAGAGAAUAUGUGAAUAAAAACAAGAUAUCUCAAGAUUCACUAAUAGUUCAAAGAUGCUUGAUGAUAUGAUCAAAAAAUCCAACACCAGACUAGGAAAGCCUGGUUUAGGAUUUGGUCAUGAAUCCCCUUCCCCAAGUACGUCUGUAACGUAUAAUAAAUUUUUCGUACGAGAAUCCACACAUCAAAGUAUUUCUCAUAAAUUGAGUGUCAAAAAAGUUUGGAUGUCUAAAGAAAAGUUACAACACUUUAAAGUCAUUUUUGUUAAUCACUUAGGACCCAAAUAUGUUUGGGUACCAAAAAAUAUGUUUUCAUCCCACUACAAAAAAAAGUAGGCAGUUCGGACGAAGCAAACUUAACGAAAUUUCCGUUACAAAUACUUAUUAUCAAAGUUAACGGAAUUUGUAACGGAAUUUCCGUUAACUUUGCUAUUUCCGUUACAAAUACUAGGACUUAUAUAUUGUAACGGAUUUUUUAACUAUUUUUAACGGAUAUUCCGUUACAAAUAGCAAUUAUUUAAUAAUUUUCAUAAUUAAGGUUAGGGUAAAUGUAUAUAAUUAGGGUUAGGGUUAGAGUAAAUGUAUAUAAUUAAGGUUAGGGUUAGGGUUAAGGUUAGUGUUAGGGUUAAUAGAUAUUAAUAAAAAUUAACAAAAAAUAGUAGAAAUAAGUGUAUAUACUUAUUUAGAUAGUGUUAGGGUUAGAAGUUAGGGUUAAAAGUAAGAGUUAGAAGUUAGAAGUUAGGGUUAGAAGAAGUUAGAUUAUAGUUUUUUUAGAUAUUAUAAAUUAUAAAAAAUUUAAAGUUAGAUUAUAAUUAGAUAAUUAUAAAAAUUUAAAUUAUAAAAAUUAUAAAUUGAAGUUAUUUUAGAUAUUCUAAAUUUUAAAGUUAAAAAAUAAAUUUAAAGAAGGUAUUUUAAUUUUUAAAGUUACAAAUUCAAGUAUUAUAAAAGUUAUUUUAAAUUAUAAAAGUUAUUUUAAAUUAACAACUAGUGAUUUUAUAAAAAUUAUAAAAAUAUCAAUUUCUAAUAUUAAGUUUAGUAGGUUAGGGUUAGUCUAAUUUAAUAAAUUUUAAUUUUUAAAUUCUAAAAUUCAAUUUAAUAAAUUAGAUAUUUUAAAAGUUAUAAAAUAAGUUUAUUUAAAUUAAAAAAUAAAUUAAAGUUAUAAAUUAAAGUUAUUUUUGAUAUUUUAAAUUUUAAAGUUAAAAAUUAACAAAGUUAUUUUUAAUUAAAGUUAUUUUUGAUAUCAAAUAAACUAACUUUAAUUGAUAAGUUAUAAACUAAGUUUAAAUGAAUAUUUUAAAUGGAUAUUUUAAAUUAAAAAAAUUAAAACCUAAAUACUAAAACCCCAAAUAUUUUUCCCAACCUAAAUACUAAAAUCCGACGAGCAGAGGGAGCAAGAGUAGUAAUCCGACGAGAACAGCCGAGCCAGAGGAAACUUCCGACGACAAAUGAGGUGAGUUUCCGACAUACUCAUUCUCCAUUUCCAACUGACCCAUUCUUCAUUUCCGACCGACCGAUUCCCCAUUUCAGUCAGACCCAUUCCCCAUUUCCGACAGACCCAUUUGAAGUUUCAAUUUCUGUUUUUGUUCUUGACUCUAUUCUUAAUAGUUGUUCUUGAUUAUUUUAUUCUUGAUUCAAGAGCAUCAUCCCUAUUCCGUUCUUGAUUCUAUUCUAUUCUUGAUUCAUUUGUUUUUCUUUUUUUCUGUCGACUAAAUCUAAGCUGGGAUGCUGGUCAUGGAAUAAAUCUCUAAGGGAUUUACCCACUAAUUGAAAUCGAGACGAUGUUGGUCAUUAUUUACCCACCAAUUGAAAUGAAGAUAAAUGAGGACAUGAUUUAUGUGCUCUAGGUUAUUAUCGAUAUCAAUUGCUUAAUAUCGAUACUUCCUGUCUAGGUAAUAACUUAUAAUGUGCUCUAGGUAAUAACUAAUAAUAAUUACCCUAUUAACCUUAAUGGAUGAUUCUUUUUUUAUUAAAGACUUGAAUAUCUGAAUAUGCAGUCUGUCUGAAUAUCUUUUAUGUAGUAUGGAAGGUGGUUGGUGCAAGUGAGUUGGAGAUCUUCCAAAUGGAAUGUCGGUGUUCUAGUGAUUCCACUGUCUAGUAGAAUUUUUCUGUUGUAUUCACAGUUUUGGAUGUUGUUCUAAAAGUUCAAAAAGCUUAUUCCAAUCAGAUAGCAAUGACUGUUAAAAGUUUAAAGCAAAGUAUCAAUUAAUUGUAAAUUUGUAAUCAAAAAAUUAUAACGUAUCUCAAGGAAUAUUAAGGUAUAAAGUCUGAACUUGCAUAUACCUUGCAAACUUUGAGUUCGGGGUUACUUAAUUGGGCUGCCCAUCAAGAAUUUUUACAAAUGCCCUGAUAUGUUUAUAAUUUACAAAUAGGAAUUUUUAGUCCUAUCAAUGCUCUGACCCAGCCAUCUUACCCUUGAAUAUGAGGUUGAAGAUUUAUCAUUAAUAGGAAGGAAACCUUCCAGGAAUUAUUGGAAUCAGUUUCAUAUGGGGAUUAGGAAUACUUCCUAUUUUCGAUCCCUAAAAUUUAUAAACUCUUAGUUUCUAUCGACUAUCAUAUGAUUCACAUCGUGUUUAAUUUUAUAGUUUUAUAGUGUUAUAUUAUGCUAGAUUUUAUAUUAUUUAGAAAUGCUUAGUUAGAGUUAGUUAUUUUUGUAUAAAUUUUUUGAAUACUUAUUUUAAUACCUUUUUCAUUUAAAUAUUGAUUUUUAAGAGGUUUCUUUUUAUUUGUAUGUUAGGAGAUAGACUAAAAUGACUGAUCAAAUAGAAGAGCUUGACAAAUCAUGGUUGUUUGAAAGUUCAACCUCGAUGAAAUUUCAAAGUGGAUUGAAAAGUUUUUUAGAUUUUGCUGAAAUCUAUUCAAACCACAAGAUGGAGCCUGGAUUAAAACUACCAUGUCCUUGUUCAAAGUGUCAUAAUGGCAAAUAUUAUAGAAUAUGAUUCUGGCCGAAGCGACAGAAUCUAGUUCACUAUCAGAAUUGAUGUUUAUAGUCCACCCUGAUGAAGAGCGACUCUACGUCCGCAACGACGGUUACCCCAUAGGCUAAAGCACAAGAUGGGUCGAGAUCAUUAAGGUCAAAGCGACAAAAUGAUCUCCAAAUGUUUGAAGAACUAUUGAAGCCAAAGCGACAACAUAAUUCUUGGUCUGAUUCUGGCUGAAGCGACAGAAUCAUGCCUGCAAAACAAAAAACAACCUGCAAAACAACUAUAUCAGUCUAAAGGAUAUAUUUAUUGAUUUACUGACCUUGCCAUGUGGAGCUGCCUCUCAUGCUGCUCCUCCUUAUGCUCAAUAAAUCCUUGAUUGAUCUGUCUGAAGUGACCGAUCUAUCAUGCUCAAAAAUGUGACAGCUUCUGGCCGAAGCGACAGAAGUGCCGGGAAAAAUUGCGAUACUCCCCUUGGAUUUCGACGACUUCUGGCCGAAAUGGCAGAAGUGUCGGAAAGAGCAUGUGAUACUCCCCCCUUGAGAUCAUUAAGGCCGAAGCAUCAAAAUAACCUAUGGUCUAUCGAGGCCGAAGCGACGAGAUAGACCGACUCACUAUCAGAGUCUGGUUUACUAUUAGAACCUGGUUCACUAUUAGAACCUUUCCUGCAAAAAAAAGAAAACAUCCUGCAAAACAAAUAAAUCAUUCCAAAAACGCAUAUUUGACUUAUUGAACUUACCGUGCGAUUUUACCUUCCCUGAUGCCUCUCCUUUGCUCAAAUUGAUCCUUGGUAAAUCUGACCGAAACUACGGAUCUUACCGUGCUCAAUUUUUGACGACAUCUGGCUGGAGCGACAGAAGUGUCGGAAGAGUUUGUGAUACUUCCCCCGAAGUGUGACAACUUCUGGCCGAAGCGACAGAAGCGUCGGGAGAGCUUGUGAUACUCCCCCCGAAAUGUGACGACUUCUAUCCAAAUUGACAGAAGUGUCGGGAGAUCUUAUGACACUCCCCCUCGAAGAACGUGCCUUUGCGACACACAAAUUUUUGGGAUGAGUGUUUUUCGAAGUAUGUGACUGUCGGUGAGCUAUCUAUUGUUUUUCCUUUGCUAAUCUUUCAUAUAAAUUACCCUUUAAAUUGUAACCAAGGCCCGAAACUAGAUUCACAAGUCGUAAUUUAGCCGCUCUGGACGUAAAUUAGACUCUGCUAACCCUAUCGCUAGCCACUCUGGGCAUAGACUUAGUCGUACGAAUCGUAGCUCAGCCUACGGUUAAAUUUACGGAUAAUUUAUACCUCCAGAUUAACGUAGAGUUACUAGAGAUAGAGCAGACGAUGAAUCAAAAAUAUUCGACACUCGAAGGUUACCUUGUAAUUUGGAAUCCUAACGAUGGAGAGAGCUUGUGAUACUCCCUCCUGAGACGUGACGACUUCUGGUCGAAGCGUCAGAAGUGUCGGGAGAGCUUGCGAUACUCCCUCCUUGAAUUUUGACGACUUCUGGCCGAAGAGACAGAAGUGUCGGAAAGGCUUCUGAUGCUCCCCCUUGAAAACAUGCACUCGGGGCAGUUUUGCUAUUAUUUUACCCAGAGUCGGCGACUGGAGGCCACCAGUCGGCGACACCUAUGGUCUGGGUAACUGCAGGGGGCAUUUUGUUUUUUACCCCUGUGAGUCGGCGACUCCCUCUAGGGAUCGGCGACUCCUAGCAUAACCGUCGGAUCUUUUAGGAGAUCCUUGAGAUAUUUGGAGAAUAUGCGGGGAAUAUAUGCAAAGUCUCCAAAUAAGGAAAUGUAUCACACAGUUCUGCGAGAUUAUGUUUGUAGUCGGCGAAUCCUUUGUGGAGUCGGCGACAGUGGCGUGAUACGGGGGAUUUGGAGAUCAAUUCCCGAUCUCAAAUUUUGUAAAUUUCGGAGUCUCUAGGGGGUUUUUGCAAUUUUCCCAGGGGCUAUAAAUAGUGGAGAGUUCUCCCCAAAACCUCACAACACUUUUCCCCUUCUCAAUCGCCUAAAACCCUAGUUUUUUCUGUCGCUGAUUCCCUAGUUUCAUUUUUUGGAUUGAUGACUCACACUAUGUCUUCCCCGAUUCCCACUUUCUAAAUGAAUCCGAAACGUCAGCCUUUGUUGCUGAGAUGACCGCUGGUCUAGACGAGGUGCUGAACACCGUAGAGUUGCCGAUUCCCUCUCCUGACAGAGGGGUUGAGUCGACGACUCCGGUAGUUCCACCUUCUGAUAUGGAUAUGAGUGCCUUUGUGCAUGAACUUCUUAACGCUUCGCCGGUGUCGGCGAUUCCUCUUGAGGAGUCGGCGACACUGAGCAGGGCCCUUUUAGUCGUGCCAGAGGGUCCUCUCGAGCUGGGAGAGAUUCCCGGGACCUCUGUGUCGGCGAUUCCCAUCGUGAAGUCGGCGACACAGACUGGGCCCGUAAAGGGAAGAUCUUUUAAGCGACGAGGGCAUGGCUCGAGUGCCACUGGAUCGGUGACUGCUGGCCGUGACUCGUCGAUCCUUCUUAUUGGAUCGGUGACUCGAGGGCCUGAUUCGGCGACUCCUAUGGAGAUUGAUGACUCUUCAGCGCGCCGCACCGCUUCGUUGGUCGUGAACGCGGAAGGUCACAUUGUGUUGGGACUAAACCCGCACCAGGAGUCAUCUGUGGGUGAUGACUCUGUCAGACGUAAAAGACGAAGCACCCACGGCAAGGGCAAAGUCUACGUGCCCGAACAAGAUGAGGGGGUCCCCCCGCCUCUUAAUGUGAAUUUUGAAGAGGCCUUGCCCGUUGACCGUGGUGCUCCCAACCCACGCCGUAGAGCGAGCCGGCGCUCUAUUGAAAGAACUCCGCCACCUCCCCUGGACUUGGACAUCAAUCGAGAUCCGGAUCUCGAUUUGGAUACGUAUGAAGGAGCUUUGAACCCAUCUGGGUUCGCUCACUGUGAAGUCGCCGUGAAUGGCAAACCAAGGUUGCUCCCAAUAGGCCGCUCCGAGGACGGCGAAUUUGAGAAAGUCAUGACUUAUGCAACCUUGGAUUGUUCUGAUGGACUGAACCCCCCUCCAAACUUAAUGCGAGCGACGCUCGAGGCUUGUUAUUGGGGGUCAACUCUCUGGGCAUUUGCGAUUCUGGAUAUCGCGUUACCAGCCUGUGAAUCUUCCACCUCCGGGAUUUCAGGCUAUUCUACGAAUCUACUUCAAGCAUUUCUCUGAAUUACCAAUUCUGGAGAUAAUUAGUGAAGUGCUACUUACUUUUGAAGUGUCCCUGUCGCAGCUCCCGGCGGGAUUCUUCGUGAUCCUAAGGGGAUUUUUGAAUAUCUGUUGGAGCCUGAGGAUUACUGCGACUGCCAGCUUGUUCCUUCAUUACUAUAAGCUGACGAAAGAAAAUCGGGAUCUGGUCGCGUCGGAUUUACGCGACGCCAUUUUGAUAAGAAUAUCGUCGAUGAACUGCCGACGAACUUUAGAUGCAACUGGAAGAAGGAAUUCUUCUUUAUCACUUCUGAGUUUCUUUUCGGGAGUCGGGAAGCGUGGAAUGAUCCCCAACAAGUGCAUAUGAAUGCUUCGAUUGGGUUGACUACGAGGGAUAUCGAAGCCUCUGAUCGGAUAGCGCGGACCCUGACUGAAUACUCUGUGCCACGCGGUGUUCCCUUUUUUCUUUGCCAAAGGAAAGACUUUACUUUUAAGGAUGUGGAAGAAGCUCAGGAGCCACCAACGGAGAAAGAGCUGGAGGGCGGAAAAAAGAGAUCGCUUCUAUACUUCGACGCCGCUCCUCUCUACAUGUGCAAGCGGUUCCGAGAGGGCAAGCUCAUUCGAUUAAGGAAGAAGAGCAAACGCGCUGAGCCUCGUCGGACCUUCGAGCAAGGAUCAAGCUCUUGCUCUGCGCAGCCACCCCCUACUGGUUACGUGCCCUAUACUUCUGGUGUGUCGCUUCCUGAUUUCAAUGCUGAUCCUAAAACUAGGAGGGAAGCGAUGUCACUCCUCAUGGGCCAGUCUGGGCGGUGGUGUCGGAGCGAGUUACUCAAACAUAUGCCUGCCGCUUGCUAUAUGGCACAUGCGUACUACCAUGCCGACUCCAUUCAUGAUGUCGAGAAGAUUCAAGAAAGAUAUAAUCAGCUUGACACAAAGUUCAAGGAGAGCGAGAAGGCCCUGGACAAGCUGAAGAACGUGAAGUCCCGGAUGGAGAACCUGCGCGACAACAUUCUGCCAAAGAAGGACAAGACGAUCGAGUCCAAGCAGAAAGAGAUAGACGAAUAUGUCGCGAAGAUAUUGGGACUUCGCAAGGAGCUGAAAGCCACCACUGCUGACCGUACUAAAGAAGUUGAGGGUUUAAAAGAUCAGCUAGCUGAUGAGAUUGGGCGCGUAGUCUCACUUGAGACUACCAUAGAAGAUUUGAGAAAGCAAGUCGCCCAAUACCAAGGAGAGACUACUGGGCUGAAGAGUGAGCUGGCUAGUGCAGAAGAGGAGAUCUUGGCGCUUAAGAAGGACAAGUCUGCACUCUCCGGGAAAGCUGAAGGAUUGGAGUUGGACGUGCGAUACCAAUCCGACCAACUUCAAAAGCUCAUCUUCUUUGGUCCUUUCGUGUUUCCCGCUCUACCCCUGACUACAUUACGGAUAUAAUGGCAUGGGUAGAGAAGCAUCCUAAGGAACUUGAGAAGAACAAGGAUGCUCUGGACAAGAUGAAGGACGAAGCCGCUCAAGAAUAGAUAUCUUUUUAGUCCUUAGAUUUAUUUUGUAAUUGGUAAUACAGUAUCCCGAACGCGGUCACAACCUACCAGCAACUAGAAGUCCGGGUAGCCUAAGAUGAGUUAAGGUAUCUAUUCUAGGGUUGGGGAGGUCCCAGGUCGAAUCCUAGGAAGAUCGACUUUCCGGAGGAUCGACUUCCCUGGGAUCGACUUUUGAAUAAAGUCGAUCACCAGGAAAGUCGACCCCCAGAAAGUCGAUCUCUGGAAGUCGAUCCUGGGACCCAAUAUGAUCAGUUUGGCAGUUAGGCGGUUACUGCCCAAAUGACCAUAUUGCCCCCAUAAGAAUCCCUAUAAAUAGAGGGCACCCCCCACUCAUUAAAGGCAAGUCAUUUGGAGAAGAAGGAUUCCUAGCGAAGCAGAGCUCUGCACACUUGAGUUCCGGUCCGGUUUCCCGCGGAGUUCCUCGCUUGGCGCUUGCUUGCGCGUCUUGGAGUACUGGUCGGGUUUCACCCCCAUCAGUAAUCUUGUUAUCAUUUUUGUAAUCUUUUGAACUUCUAUUAUUAAUGAAUCGUUUUUGCUUUCUUUCCGUUAAUUGUUUAUUUACUUUACUUCUCUGAACUGUAACUAAGACCCGAAACUAGAUUCGCGAGUCGUAAUUUAGCUGCUCUGGACGUAAAUUAGACUAACCCUAUCGCUAGCCACUCUGGGCGUAGACUUGGUCCUACGAAUCGUAGCUCAGUCUACAGUUAAAUUCACGAAGAUAAAUUAAACUUCACAACUAAUAAAAACUCGUAAUAUCGAUUAAACUAAUAAGUUGAAAACCAAAAAAUAUCGGAGAAGAUAACAAAAGAUCGCAAUGUUGAUAUGAUAAACCUUAAGACUCUAGAAUUGUACUCUAGAUUCCUUACCAUGUAGUUCAACUCCGGCCGAAAUGUCGGAGCAACUUUUGACCCGCACCAAGGUCGUAAUGACGAGAUGGGGUUGAAUCGUUAAGGCUAUAGUGGCAAAACGAUUACUAAUCUAUUAAGGCCGUAGCGAUAUAAUAGAUUCUGGUAUGUGUGGUGGGUACUUAGAACCUCUUGUGGUUGGGCUCACUUGUACCUAUCAACUAUCUAGGACUCUACCUUUAGACCCUAGUGUGUGGUUGAACUCUGGCCUUAGCGACAGAGCAACUUUUUGGACCCAUAUCUAGGCUGAAGCGACAAGAUUGGGUUGAAUCGUAAUGUAUUAAAAACGAUUUUAAUCUAUUAAGGCGAUAGCGAUGAAAUAGAUUCAUAGUGUGGGGUGCUAGCUAGAGUCGUAGGUAGAUGAUAAAUUUUAUUGAGAAUGUAAAUUACAACAGUAAAAUCUAAUUUUUCUACUAAUAUAUAGACUAAGAGACUCUAACGUGCUCAAUACUAAGCGCAAUGUUGCUGUAUGUUGCCCGUGUCCCAGAUGCAAGGACUUUUGGGUGACAGCUUAUUUAUAUUCCUCUUAGUUUAUGCUAGCCUUCCUGUGGAUCUACCAAGAAAUAGCAUGUGGAUGGUUUUCCGUGGGUGGUCCUUGCUAUUGUCGUUGUCUGGUGAAGGAGAGCGUGGGCGCUUCCCUUUCGUGUCAGACUUGCAAUCGUUUCGACCUCGGGAUCCUUUGACCAGGUUGUCAAGUUCGCCGUUCGAAAUUAAUUGUUCGACAUAAAGCGAGAAUUCCCUGUAAUAGUCCGUCAGAUGGUCGUGGUCCUUGUGGAAUUUACAGAAUCUUCCACUUUUUUGACGGCUAUCCUUGGUUGCAGGGUCCAUAGAGCGAGGAGCGGGGAGAUCCGCUCUGUUCUUCAGUUUUUCAAACAGCUCGCCUUUGCUGAUUGUUAGUGGGGUCCGAUCCUUCCAUGGUUGAGGUGGACCUCUUGGCGACCGUUUGGUGGAUGUUUGAUAUACCUUGUUAUCGCGUUUAGGCUUCCAUUCCCUUCUGAAGGAAUCAACCGCAUCGCUAGAGUAUCUGUUCGAGGAGUCAUUGUAACUCUUUUUCUCGAACUUUUGUUUUUUGAAGCUAGUGUUCUCAAGUUCCACUAGCUUGUUUUCAUUCUGCUCUUCCACCUCAAUGAAUGAUUGAGCUCGUUGGAAGAGGUCGGGUAAGGUCUCCACUUUAUGGAGCGUAAGAUUCAGGGCCAGAGGGGAGUAGGGUACUGGCCCGUUUGUAUAUCCCGCAAUGGCCAGACUUGGGAUUAAGUCGCUCACUUCUGUCAUCAUUGAAGUGAACUUAAUCGUGUAAUCCCUAAGAGACAGUUUGUCCUGUUGUAGCGCCAACAGUGCAUUGGCGCUGUGUUUGAUCCUAAUCACCCCCACUUGUUGGGCGAUGAAUUUGGACGCGAGGUCUGCAAAGCUGAAGACCGAUCCAGCUGGUAGACCGGAAAACCACCGAUAGGUAUUGCCCUUAAGAGUGCCAGGGAAUACUCGACACAGCAACGCGUUGUCAGUGGUUUGCGGUUCCAGAACACUGAGGUAGAGGUUGAUGUGAUCUUUUGGAUCACCCGAACCAUCGUACGACUCUAUUCUGGGUACCCACCAGGUUGGUGGAAAGGCCACCUUCAAAAGGUCCUCUUGGAAAGGAGCGCUUUUGACUCUUAAGAACUCGAUCGGAUUGCUGAUGACUAAAGUGUCGGCCAGCUUCCGACGGAGGUCCUCUACGAAUCGUGUUGUAAGAGUCCUCUCAGUGCGACUCUUACUGGGUCCAACUCUUGAUUUUUCUGGUUCCUGACCUUUCUUUUUCUCCGCAGUCGAAGAAUUGUGAGAAGUUGAUUCACCCGCUUUCUCGCCGGCGAUAGUUUUCUGACUCCUUGCUUUCUCGAGGUGGCUAACUCUUCUUUCCAUGUUAUCCAUGAAGUUAAUCAACCUCGCUUCUAGAGCGGGAGAGAUGGAUGUCCGAGGGGGCAGAUCAGUUUGAGCAUCCUCGAACCUCUCAACUUGUAUGUUUGGCUGAGGAUGCUCAGUGUGUGCCCCAUCGAGUACCACUGAGGAUUUACUUUUGUUCCUCAGAUGGUAAUCGUGGUUUUGUCUUUCAUAUGCCAUAGAUGAUAAAAGCUAAUUCCAACCGGAGCGCAGGUAUUGAUCGAGCUAACUCGAAAGAAACCAGGUGGAGUCGGCGACUGGCCUUAGGUUUUUUGACUUUCGAGCUGAAUUGAGGCUCGAGAGAAAAAACCAAGUGGAAUCAACGAUUCACUAGGUGUAGUCGGCGAUUCACAAGGAUGAAUCGGUGACACACGAUGGUGGAAUCAGGGACUGCUUUAGGUAGUUUUUCUUUAGAGUCUGGCCGUGGACAGCACUCUUAGCUAGCAGAAUAACCCGCAAUCGGAGACUCACUAGGUGGAGUCGGCGAUUGCCUGUGUGUAUCGGAGAUUCCUUAACACAAAGUUAGUGACUCACCCUAAGGGAAUCGAGCUGAACUUUGCGAAGAAAAUUUCGCGAUUACGAUGGGAUAUCGUGGUUCGAUUGUCCCACAGACGGCGCCAGCUGAUGAAGCACGGAAUCUGCUACCAGUAGGCUCGCGGGGUUGCAAGGAGGGCCGGAGACUUUGGAGUCCACGACGCGCGCUCUACGUCAAUGUACCUGCAGAAGUGGAGGGGAAUCGGCGACUCUCUUGGGAGUAGGCGAUUCGGGCUCCUUGGAUUGCUCUGGUGUGGUGUGGUCAAGUGGGAAUGACUUGGGAGUAGAGGACCCCCAAGGACCCCUUUUAUAGGGUCCUGGGGGACGUUACCCCAUUCAUUAGCGUGGGGCCCACCCCAUUAAGGUACCCUAUUGAAGGGUGCCUUAAUGACGGGGGCCCACUCAAGUAAUGGCUGGGAGUCGGCGACUCAGGUAUGGGAGUUGCCGAUCCAGAGGUGUUGUCGCAGACUCCCCAUGAACCAAGUUGGCAGUCUACCAGAAUUGACCACGAGGCCUAGAGUCGGCGGUUCACCCCUGGAGUCGGCGAUUUGGUAGUCCCAGUCGGCGACUCCCAGGUGUUGCCCUGAGUAUUUUACGUAGACACUUCCUCCGAAUUUGUGGAACUCUCCGGGGGUCUGGCAUAAAGCGACGGAACCCUAGUCCUUCUUGAAGGGCAUUGUUGGGAGUGACUGACGUAAUCAGGCAUGUCUCACCAACGAUUAAGUUCACUUCAAUGAUGACAGAAGUGAGUGACUUAAUCCCGAGUUUGGCCAUAGCGGGGUACACAAAUGGGCUAGUACCCUACUCCCCUUUGGCCCAGAAUCUUACGCUCCAUAAAGUGGAGACUUUACCUGAUCUCUUCUAGCAAGCCCAAUAAUUCAUUGAGGUGGAAGAGCAAAAUGAAAACAAGCUAGUGGAACUUAAGGGCACUAGCUUCAAAAAACCAAAGUACGAGAAGAAGAGGUACAACGGGAAGAAUAAUUUUCGUGGCUCCUCGAACAAAUACACUGACAAUGCGGUUAAUUCCUUUAAAAAGGAAUGGAAGCCCAAACACGAUAACAAAGUGUAUCAAACAACCACCAAACAACCGCCAAAGGGUCCACCUCAACCAUGGAAGGAUUGGACCCCAUUAACAAUCAAUAAAGGCGAGCUGUUUGAGAAACUAAAGAACCGAGCGGAUCUGCCCCCUGCUCGUUCUUCGGACCUUGCAAAGAAGGGUAGCCGUAAAAAAGGUGGAAGAUUUUGUAAAUUUCACAAGGACCACGGCCACCUAACAGACCACUGCAGGGAGUUCUCGGUUUAUGUCGAGCAACUAGUCUCGAAGGGAGAACUUGGUAACUUUGUCAAGGGAUCCCGAGGACGGGACGGUUGCAAAUCUGACCCGAAGGGGAAGAAUCCACGCUCUCCUUCGCCGGACAGCGACAGUAGCGAGGACCGCCAACGGAAAACCAUCAAUAAGAUAUUUGGUGGUGGGUCUGUUGGCCAGAAUAGGGGAUAUUCCCAGAAGGUGCUGAUGUAACAAUCAACACCUCGCGACAAUGGGAAGCGGGUCCGGGAAGAGAAGUCGAUAUACUUCUCUGAAGAGGACUUGGAAGAUGUUCUGCAACCUCAUGAGGACCCACUCGUGAUUCAAGCAGACAUCGGUCCCACUGCCCGUGUCGAGAGGAUGAUUGUUGACAGCGGCAGUUCCGCGGACAUCCUCUAUAUGGACACCUUCACCAAGAUGGGCCUUAAAAAGGAGGAUCUGUCUCUGAUGAAGCACGAAAUCUACUACCAGUAGGCUCGCGGGGUUACGAGGAGGGCCAGAGGCUUUGGAGUCCACGACGCGCGCUCUACGUCAAUGUAUCAGCAGAGAGGAGGUGAGUUGGUGACUCAAGUGUAGGAGUCGGCGACUCAGGCUCCUUAGUUUUCUCUGGUUGGAGUGUGUGUCAAGUGUGUUGGAGGGGAAUUGUUGAUUAAUGAGGACUCCCAAGGGCCCCUUUAAUAGGGUCCUGAGGACGUUUCUCAUUCAUUACCCGUGGGGCCCACGCUAUUAUGGUGCCCUAUUAAAGGUGCCAUAAUGGGGUGGGCCAAGCCAUAUAACGGCUGGAAGUCGGCGACUUAGGGUGAAGCCAUCGAUUUCCCAUAAGCCAGGUUGGAAGCCUACCAGAACUAACAAACGAGGCCUGGGAUCGGUGGCUCACCUCUGGAGUCGGCGACUUGGUAGUCCCAGCCGCCGAUUCCCAGUGUUGACUUGUGUACUUGACGUAGACACUUGCCCGCAACCGUGGAUCUCUCUGGGGGUCCAGCAUAAAGCGACGGAACCCUAGUUCUUGUUGAAGGAUGUUGCUGGGAGUGACUGACGUAAUCAGGCAUGUCUCACCAAUACUCCCCCCUGAAGAGAGCACAAGAAACAUGCGUAUACCGCCAGUAUCCACCCCCCUAACAAGGUUUUGUGUGAUCCGACUUAAGGCCAAAGCGACAAGAUGGGAUCGAGUCAUUGCAUUCACAGCGACACAAUGACUUCGCGUGAUCCAUGCACAAUCAGAUGGAUUGAUUCACUAUCAGAAUCUAGUUCCAGGCCAACGGAACUACGUGUUUAUAGUUCCUACUCUGAUCAGGAGCGACUUUUGCUGUGUCAUCAUCAAGACCAAAGCGACAAGAUGCGUGGAUUCUGGCCGAAGCGACAGAAUGCGUGGAUUCACUAUCAGAAUCUGAUUCUGACCGAAGCGAUAGAAUGUGUGAAUUCACUAUCAGAAUCUAGUUCACUAACAGAACUAAGGCCAGAGCGACAAAAUGAUCUCCAAGUAUAUCAAGGCCGAAGCGACAAGAUAGAAGAAUUAUUGAGGGCAAAGCGACAACAUAAUUUUUGGUCCAUUAAGGCCAAAGCGACAAAAUGGAACUGGAUCUAUUAAGGCCAAAGCGACAAAAUAGAUUAACUCACUAUCAGAGUCUGCCUCACUAUCAUAGUCUGGUUCACUAUUAGAACCUUUUCUGCAAAAAAGAAAACAUCCUGCAAAACAACUAGAUCAGUCCAAAGGAUAUACUUAUUGAUUUACUGACCUUGCCGUUUGGAGCUACCUCUCAUGCUGCUUCUCCUUAUGCUCAAUAAAUCCUUGAUUGAUCUGGCCGAAGCGACAGAUCUAUCAUGCUCAAAAAUGUGACAGCUUCUGGACGAAGCGACAGAAGUGUCAGGAGAACUUGUGAUACUCCCCUUGGGUUUCGACGAUUUCUGGCCGAAGCGACAGAAGUGUCGGGAAGAGCUUGUGAUACUCCCCCCGGAGUUUGACGACUUCUUGCCGAAGCGACAGAAGUGUCGAGUAGAGCUUGUGAUACUUCCCACUUGAGAUCAUUAAGGCCGAAGCGUCAAAAUGACCUCUGGUCUAUCAAGGCCGAAGCGACGAGACAGACCGACUCUCUAUUAGAGUCUGACUCACUAAUAGAGUCUGGUUCACUAUUAGAACCUUUCCUGCAAAAAAGAAAACAUCCUUCAAAAUAACUAGAUCAGUCCAAAACGCAUAUUUAACUUAUUGAACUUACCGUACAAUUUUACCUUCCUUGAUGCCUCUCCUUUGCUCAAAUUGAUCCUUGGUAAAUCUGGCCGAAGCGACAGAUCUUACCGUACUCAAUUUUUGACGACUUCUGGCCGGAGCGACAGAAGUGUCGGGAGAGUUUGUGAUACUCCCCACGAAAUUUGACGACUUCUGGCCGAAGCGACAGAAGUGUCGGGAGAGCUUGUGAUACUCCCCUUGAAAUGUGACGACUUCUGGCCGAAGCGACAAAAGCGUCGGGAGUACUUGUGAUACUCUCUAUUGAAAAUGUGACAACUUAUGACCGAAGAGACAGAAGCGUCGGGAGUACUUGUGAUACUCUCUAUUGAAAAUGUGUCAACUUCUGACCGAAGCGACAGAAGCGUCGGGAGUAUUUGUGAUACUCCCCUUCGAAAUGUGACGACUUCUGUCCGAAGCGACAGAAGUGUCGGGAGAGUUUGUGAUACUCUCCCUCGAAAUGUGACGACUUCUAUCCAAAUUGACAGAAGUGUCGGGAGAGUUUGUGAUACUCCACCUCGAAAUUUGACGACUUCUGGACGAAGCGACAAAAGUGUCGGGAGAGUUUGUGAUACUCCCCCUCGAAGUGAUUGUUAAUGGGCUAUCUUUUGUUUUUUCUUUGCUAAUCUUUCAUAUAAAUUACCCUUUAAAUUGUAACUAAGGCCCGAAACUAGAUUCACAAGUCGUAAUUUAGCCACUCUGGACGUAAAUUAGACUCUGCUAACCCUAUUGCUAGCCACUCUGGGCGUAGACUUGGUCGUACGAACCGUAGCUCAGCCUACGGUUAAAUUUGCGGAUAAUUUAUACCUCCAGAUUAACGUAGAGUUGUAAAAGAUAGUACGAAUGAUAAAUCCGAAGGAUGCAAAUUUUUCAAACUCGAGGGUUACGUUCGUAAUUUACAAUUACAACUUAAGUUUGAACCCUGUUGUUGGAGAGAGCUUGUGAUACUCUCUCUUGAAACGUGACGACUUCUGGCCGAAGCGACAGAAGUGUCGGGAGAGUUUGUGAUACUCUCCCUCGAAGUGUUAUUUGUACUUAGAACCUCUUGGGGUUAGGUUCAUUUGUACUUAGGACAUGAUUUUGUGACCAUCACUUAAACUUGUGGGUCGUAAGCUAGGUCUGAGCAACAGGUAUCAUCCAACCAAAGCGAUGGAUGAUAUAUGAGGUUGAAGAGACGGGCGUCAUCCAGCCGAAGCAAUGAAUGAUUGAUCUGUCUAAAGCGACGGGUGAUUAUUCUAAAUAUGAUACUGCAUAUAUCUCUAUGGAUUAAAGAGAGAUUUAUUUAGAAUAAUAUCGCUAUUGAGAAUACAUGAGAAUAGUAUGAGCGACAAACAAAAGAAUUAAUGUGUUUUUUGGUCGCUGGUUUCCACUGACAGAAGCAUAGCCUGCAUGGUUGCUCUGGCCAAUCCUAUCUCCUAACAGGUGAUAGUUCGAUCCUCACUACUUGCGUGAUGCACUUGAUUGCGAGUGUGAACUGUGGCUCUGGUUGCCAUCUGUCAUAGGAUUGAGAGCGUGACAUAUGGUCAUAACUGUUACUGGGCCGAGAGUGUGAGCUAUGGCUUUCGUGGCCAUAACUGUUACCAGACUGAGAGUAUGAGAUAUGACUUUUUUGGUCAUAACUGCUGAUGAGAAGCUCCUCUCUGUAUCGAGGAGGACUAGUCGAGGUUUCAGACUGGUAACUUGUAUCCUCGUAUGUAUCUUCUUUAGCACAACGAGGUUUUUUCCGGCUGGGCGGCUCGACUCCGUCCAGCUUAUUAUUGUUCUCCUCUUCUAUCUCAAUGAACGAUUGAGCUCGUUGGAAGAGGUCGGGCAGGGUCUCCACUUUAUGGAGCGUAAGAUUCUGAGCCAAAGGGGAGUAGGGUACUAGCACAUUCAUGUACCCCGCUAUGGCCAGACUCGGGAUUAGGUCGUUCACUUCUGUCAUCAUCGAAGUGAACUUAAUCGUGUAAUCCCUCAGAGACAGUUUGUUCUGUCGUAAUGCCAGCAGUGCAUUGGCACUGUAUUUUAUUCUGAUCAUCCCCACAUGUUGGGCGAUGAACUUCGAAGAGAGGUCCACGAAGCUGGAGACCGAGCCAGCUGGCAGACCAGAGAACCACUGAUAAGCGCUGCCUUUGAGAGUGCCGGGGAAUGCCCGACACAACAGUCCGUUAUCGGUGAUCUGCGGUUCCAAGACACUAAGGUAGAGUUUGACGUGAUCUUUUGGAUCACUCGAACCGUCAUACGCUUCUAUCUUGGGUACCCGCCAGGUUGGUGUAAAAGAUCCUUUCAAAAGGUCCUUGUGAAAAGGAGCGCUUUUGAUUCUCAGGUACUCGAUCGAACUGCUGGCGACCGGAUUGUCGGCCAGCUUCUGACGGAGAUCUUCCACGAACCUUGUUAUAAGAGUCUUGUCAGAGAGACUCUUGCUAGGUCCAGUCUUUGCUUUAGGAGGCACUGGAGAUUUCCUCUUUUUCUCCGCAGAUGGAGAAUAGUAAGACCCAGAUUCACCCGCUCCUUCGUGGAUGAUGGUCUUGUGGCUCCUCGCUUUGUCGAGGUUGCUAACUCUUUUUUCUAUGGUAUCCAUAAAGUUAAUCAACCUCUCUUCUAGCGCAGGAGUUAGAUUCAUUCCCCCAUUUGGUCUGGGUAGCGAUGAGGGCACCUCAUGUGCCGACAGUGGUGCAAUAGAGGUUGGUACAGUACGAGAACCAACCCUCCUACUAGAAGCUCCUACUUCAGUAGCAGUAGCAGGAGCUUUCUUUUUAUGAUCCUUAGUAAAAGAAGCCAUAAAUGGGAUGGUUGCUUCUAUCGGGUCGAAGCAGCAGACUACGAGUGGAAGUUCUUCCGAAAUGUUGGAAGCUAUGGGUAGGUACCUGUCCCCUCGGGUGUCACAAAAUAGAAAUUUUUUUGUAUAAUAUUUCUUUAUUGUUUUGUUACCCCCUUGAGCAGUACUACUAGCCCCCAAAGUUUGAAAUUAGCAAAAAAUUCCGUAAUUUUUUUACGAUUUUUCUGCAGAAAAUCGUGCUGCCGGAGGUGGUUUUCGGAAUGCCUGUUUAGACCUCUCCCAGAAAAUAUUCCUUGCACUGUUGGGAAAUUCUUCUUUUUUGUAUUCGUAGAGAAAACUUUUUUCACGUGAUGUGUAGUCGCAGAAUCCGAAAAUCAGAUAUGGGCAUUCCGGAGGUGGACCGACAGAAUCACUUGACGUAGAGCACGCGACGUGGACUUCAGAGCCUCUGGCCCUCCUCGCAACCCCACAAGCCUUUUGGUAGUAGAUUCAGUGCUUCAUCAGCUGGCGUCGUCUGUGGGACUACCAAACCACCGGUAUCCCAUCGUAAUCGUGAUUUUUUUUGCAAAGUCUGGCUUUGUCAAUUAAAUCGUAAUCAGCCGUCCCUGAGGGAUCGCUGACUUUGUCAACUAAAUCGAAGAUUUAGAUCGAAAAUCAUCAAUUCUUGCCUGAAGAUCCUGUUGGAUUUCCUUAGAAAUUAUCGACUUCACCCUAAGAAUCGUCGAUCCGGAAUAUCGUCUGUUAGCUAAUAAUGCCGUCCACGGCUCUGUUCAAAAAUAUCCUGAUAGUACAAGGUCCGACACACAGACCAUAGUACUAAAAGACGUAUCCCAAAGUAUCUAAUACGCAGAGGAGGGGGAGUACUGGUGAUACAGUAUCCCGAACACGGUCACAACCUACCAGCAACUAGAAGUUCGGAUAGCCUAAGAUGAGUCGAGGUAUCUAUUCUAGGGUUGGGGAGGUCCCAGGUCGAAUCCUAGGAAGAUCGACUUUCCUGAGGAUCGACUUCCCUGGGAUCGACUUCUGAAUAAAGUCGAUCACCAGGAAAGUCGACUCCCAGAAAGUCGAUCUCUGGAAGUCGAUCCUGGGACCCAAUCUGAUCAGUUGGGCAGUUAGGCGGUUACUGCCCAAAUGACCAUAUUGCCCCCAUAAGAACCCCUAUAAAUAGAGGGCACCCCCCACUCAUUAAAGGCAAGUCAUUUGGAGAAGAAGGAUUCCUAGCGAAGCAGAGCCUGCGCACUUGAGUUCCGAUCCGGUUUCCCGCGGAGUUCCCCGCUUGGCGCUUGCUUGCGCGUCUUGGAGUACUGGUCCGGUUUCACCCCCAUCAUAUCCAAAAGUCAAAAUCGUCGAUUUAGACCCCAAAAUCGCCGAUUUUCUUUGUUUUUGAGCAUGCUCGGUCAAGUCACCCCUACGUUUUGGAACUACUCCGCUUUUGUUACUAAUGGCUCAAGAAAAGCAAAAGCACGACUACCCUUUGAGAAAUAAGGGUAAAAGGCCAUUGAGGCCUGAAGAGGAACAAACUAAACCUCCUCAGCCAAAGAGGCUGGAGGAAGCUCGGUCUAACCUUCCUUCUCAGACACAUUCAGCUCCGGCUUAGAUCGGAGAGAAAAUGGUCCAAAAGAUUCCUCCCACUCUGGAAUCGAGGUUGAUCAACUUCAUGGAUAACAUGGAGAAGAGAGUUGACAACCUUGAGAAAUCAAGGAGUCAGAAGACCAUCAUCCGCGAAGGAGCGGGUGAAUCUGGGUCUUAAUAUUCUCCAUCCUCGGAGAAGAAGAAAAAAGUUCCCACCUUAAGUCAAGGGCGGGACCUAGUAAGAGUCGCACUGAAAAAACUCUUACCACUCGAUUCGUGGAAGAUCUUCGUCGGAAACUGGCUGAAGACCCAAUUGUCAGUUGUCCGAACGAGUUUCAAAGGAUCAAAAGUGCUCCAUUUCACGUAGAACUUUUGGAAGGAUCCUUUCCACCAACCUGGCGAGUACCCAGAAUUAAAGCAUAUGACGGUUCGAGUGAUCCAAAAGAUCACAUCAACUUCUACCUUAAUAUCUUGGAAACGCAGACCACCGAUAACGGGCUGUGUCGGGCAUUCCCCGGCACUCUCAAGGGCAGCGCUUAUCGGUGAUUUUCUAGUCUGCCAUCUGGCUCAGUUACCAGCUUUGCGGACCUCUCUUCGAAGUUCAUCGCCCAAUGCGUUACUGGCACUACGACAGGACAAGCUUUCUCUUCGGGAUUACACGAUUAAGUUCACUUUGAGAGGGAGUAUCGCAAAGUCUCCCGACACUUCUGUCGCUUCGGCCAGAAGUCGUCACGUUUCAGGGCGAGUAUCAUAAGCUCCUCCGACACUUCUGUUGCUUCGGCCAAAAGUCGUCACGUUUCAGGGGGAGUAUCACAAGCUCCCCCGACACUUCUGUUGCUUCGGCCAGAAGUCGUCACGUUUCAAGGGGAGUAUCACAAACUCUCUUGACACUUCUGUCUCUUUGGCCGGAAGUUGUCAAAAUUGAGCAUGGUAAAUCUAUCGCUUCGGCCAGAUUUACCAAGGAUUCAUUUGAGCAAAGGAGGGACAUUACGGAAGGUAAAAUCGCAUGGUAAGUUCAAUAAGUCAAUAAUAAUAUGCGUUUUGGACUGAUCUAGUUGUUUUGCAGAAUGUUUUCUUUUUUGCAGGUAAGAUUCUAAUAGUGAAUCAGACUCUGAUAGUGAGUCAGACUCUGAUAGUGAGUCAAUCUAUCUUGUCGAUUUGGCCUUGAUAGACUAGAGAUCAUUUUGUCGCUUUGGCCUUAAUGAUCUCAACCCAUCUUGUCGCUUUGGCCUUGAUGGGGUAACCGUCGUUGCGGACAAAAAGUCGCUCUUGAUCAGAGUUGACUAUAAACAUUAGUUAUAAUAUUGAACUAGAUUCUAAUAGUGAAUCAGAUUUUGAUAGUGAAUCAAUAAAUUCUGCCGCUUUGGCCAGAAUCAGACUCUGAUAGUGAGUCAAUUCAUCUUGUCGCUUUGGCCUUGAUGACCCAACAAAAGUCGCCCUUGAUCAGGGUUGGACUAUAAACACGUAGUUCCGUUGGCUAAAUAUCUCUGAAUUCACUGCCGGAGAGAUUUUUUUGGCUAAAUAUCUCUGAAUUUUCACCAAGUCGGGCGGGUGUACGAGAAAUACCUCUGAAUUCACCGACAGAGAGGUGUUUUGGCUAAAUACCUCUGGAUUUUUAUCAAGUCGGGAGGGGGUACGAGAAAUACCUCUGAAUUCACCGCCGGAGGGGUGUUUUGGCUAAAUACCUCUGGAUUUUCACCAAGCCGAGGUAGUGUAGGAGAAAUACCUAUGAAUUCACUGUCGGAGGGAUUUUUUGACUAAAUAUCUCUGGAUUUUCACCAAUUCGGAGUGUACGAGAAAUACCUCUGAAUUCACUGCUAGAGAGGUCUUUUGGCUAAAUAUCUCUGGAUUUUCACCAAGUCAAGGGGUGUACGAGAAAUAUCUCUGAAUUCACCGUGUUGAAGGAGUGUGAUCGUGUCUACUAAGUGCUUUUUUCUGCGUUCUACGGAACCCAUUUAUUGAUGAACUGUACGAACAGGCGAAACGACCUGGAUCCGGAUAUUUUCAUGGGUAUGGAAUGAGUAAUGGUCUAGGCUUUUCCCUUGUAGACCCGAACAAAGUUCAUGGAUCAGAGUUCAAGCCAGCCUAAACUUGGCCCAUUUACAUCCCUAAUAAAAGGAUAUGAAUUAAUAUAUAUAAUAUCUAAUAAUAUCUAAUAAUAUCAAAUAAUGUCAAAUAAUAUCAAAUUACUAGAUCUUAUUAUAUAGAAUAUGUAUAAUACCAACUCUUAUUAUAUAUACCAACUCUAUUUAUAUAGACAACCUAAUUUCAGUGUUUUCUUGCAACAUUUCUUCAUAAUAUUUCAUAGAAAAAAAAAAGAUAUUAAAAAAUGGCAAAUCAUUCAGCAAAUUGUCUUCUUAUAUUAUCUAUCUUGAUCAUUCUCGCAACUUUUACUGAAGCAUCUCAAAGAGUUAUGGUUGAAAUGACCAUAAAGGAAAAAAUCACCCCGCAAGAAUGCUCUGAUAUCCCUAAAUGUUUUGCUACAAACGGACAGUGUGUUUGCAUAACAGACACAUCAAAGAUUUCGACUAUGAUAAGUCAUCAUAAUGAAAUGAAAGAAAUUUUGUUGGUAUCAAAGCAGUUUUGUAUUAGAUUUGAGGGUUGUUAAACUUUAUAACUAAUAAAUAUGAUAUAUGAAUAAAUAUUUUCGUUUUAGAAAUUUUAUGUCUCAGAAUAGCUGUAAUAUUAGAGAAUAAGGGUAUAAAUUGGGUAGAUCUUGAUAAUAUAGUGCGUAAACGUUAUUCUCUCUCUCUAGUUCAAUCUCUUUUAGUCUCUCUAGUUCGUUCACUUAGCAGUCGAAAUGGUAAAAAGGUCUCAUCUUAUCUGUCCCCUAAGAGGUAGAUAUACUGCUGUUCACAGACCAUUUAUAUUCUACCAAUUUGAAUUUUUUAACGGGAAAAUAUUUUUGAUGGAGAAUCCUCCAAUAAUAUCUAAUUUAAAAAUUAUUAUUAUUUGAUGGAGAUAUCUAAUUUAAAAAUUAUUAUUAUUUGAUAAAAUAAGAUAACUUUCAAUAGAGGCUCAACGGUGAGUCGAAAAUUUCGAAAAUCGCUACAAUUAACAUAUGGUAAUUUUGUGCAUUUCAAAUACUAUAAAUUUUUAAUUAUUUUCCCACGUUCUCACGUCAUUUUUCAAAAAUAUUGAAAUUAAAAUCAAUCAUAAAUGAGGACAUAGUAGACAAGUUGUUAAAAAUUAAUUUACGAUUUCAAUGAUAUCCGGAAUAAUUGGUUUUCAAAAAAAUCUGAAAAAUAUUUUAAAAAAUGUGUAUAUUUUAUUAUACAAAAUAGUAUACAUUUUUUGAUACAAAAUCGCGGAUAUUUUGUGAUAAAAAAUCGUUGAAAAUAUCCAAAUUUGGAAAAAUAUUAUACCGAUGCAUUAAUGAAAGAAGAAUUAUAAUAUAACGUUUUUAGUAACUCGAUUUUUAGAAGAAAAAUAUCAAAAAUAAUUCAAAAUUGAAAAUGUUCACUUUUUUACAUCCUAAGAUGUCCUUAUUUUAAUAGUUCAAAAUGUUAAUUUUUUUUGUAAAGGUAACCUGCCGUCUAAGAGUGCUUACAAUUAUUAAAUAAAAAUCCUUUAAUUACAAUUAAAAAAUUAUAUUACAACUAAAAUUAAUAUAAAACAUCAAAGUAGUCUAUUACAAUCUAAAACAUAAAACUAAAAAUUUCAAAUAUUAGAAGGUGGAGGAAUGAUUAGUAGUAUGCGUGAGUGAGAAAGGGACGGGUCAUAAAAAUUUGGCACUAACAUUAGGGCGUCCAACUUGGUUGGUCCUAAAAAAUUGGCGCCAACAUAAGGGAGACCAACUUGGUUGGUCACAAAAAUUUGGGGCCAACAUAAGGGCGACCAACUUGGUUGGUCCCAAAAAAUUGGCGUCAACAUAAAGGCGACCAACUUGGUUGGUCACAAAUCUUUGGUACCAACAAAUGGGAGACCAACUUGGUUGGUCACAUACAUUUCCUCCAACAUAAGGGCGACCAACAUAAUUGGUCGCUAUUUGCUAGUAUUUUAUAUUUUACGACCAACAUAGUUGGUCACAAAAAUUUGACGUGAAAUUAUAGGCGACCAUCUGGUUGGUCGUUAUUUGCUAGUAUUUUAUAUUUUAAAGACCAACUAAGUUGGUCGUAAAAUUUUGGACGAACUACACUUAGCGAAAAAAUUAGUUGGUCGCAAAUUUUUAAGGCAAAAAAAAUAAUACAGACUUACGAAGUGGGCCCUGGAGCUGAGCAAGUUCGACGUUGACUUUGUUCUAGCUACAACCAUCAAAGGAUAAGCCAUUACGGAUUUCAUAGUAGUGGAAGUCGACGGCUCAAGCUACAGCACGGGCUCGGAAUAGGAGUCAAAAUAAUAACUCCAGAUCCAAGAAUAUACGACAACUCGGUAAGACUGCAAUUUACGGACACAAAUAAUACAACAGAAUAUGAAGCUGUAAUCCAGGGUUUAAAGAUAGUUAAAACACUCGGAGUCUGCUCAGUGAUAAUUAGUACUGAUACACAACUAGUAGCCAGGCAAUCGACAGGGGAGUUUUCAACAAAAGUGCCUCAGCUAAUGCAGUAUGUAGCAACAUUAGAUAAAAUAAAGCUACAAUUUAACAAAGUAAAAAUAGAACAAAUUUCAAGAAGCCAGAAUAACUCGGAAGAUGCACUUGCAAGGCUCGUCUCAGCGUUCGACGGUGGCCAAAGGGAAAUACUAGUAGACUCAGUCUCGGUUCCCUCAUGCAAUCUGGUCACAAGUCAGGCCAAAUAUUGGAGAUUACCAGUACUAGAGUAUUUACAAGGUCAAAAGAUGCUAGAAGACAAAAAUGAGGGCCGAAAACUGCAAACGUGCAUCCCGAGAUUCUGUCAGUUAGGAGAUGUUCUGUAGGAAAAAUCAUACGUUGGACCCCUAAUGAAAUGUGUUUCCUAAGAAGAAGGCCAAUUCAUAAUAGAAGAGGUCCACUAGGGGGUAUGCGGAAUCCAUCAGGAGGAAGAACCCUAGCCCAGAGAGUACUACGACAAGGGUAUUUCUGGCCCAAUUUGAAAAGAGAUGUGAUUUUGUUCACAAUGAAGUGCAGAGCUCUGGAGUCCGGCCACGACGUCCUCUCCACGUCAAAUCUUCCAAGAGGAAUCGACGAUUACAAGUGUGCAAUCGACGAGUUUCUUCGUGUUGUGCUCUGAUUAGGAUGGAACUGAUGCUUUGGAUUAUGGACGGAGGAUGCGUUUUAUAGGACCCUCCAGGUGCAAUUCACGGCGGUGAUCGCGCCCGGCAUUAAUGGCGUGCCAUUAAGGACCCGAGCUAGCACCGAGUAACGGUCAUGAAGUCGGCGAUUCAGUGGGGAAUCGGUGAUUCAGGUCUUUGACUUGAAGAAGACCUUUGUUCUGCAAUCGUGGGAGCCUUUUGGGGAUUUGGAUAAAGCGAACAAAACCCUAGUCCUUGUUGAGAGACAUUGAUGGGAGUAACUGGCGUAAUCAAUCAUGUAUCAGCAAAAGGUAGUCAUUGAUCCUCUGAGAAGUUGAGGCCAGAGAGAAAUGCCACAUCUUCAUCUGAUGGUUCCAAGCUUAGCAAGAUUCCUUCAAAGAGGAAAUCUCCACCUCUGACUAUUGGUCAGCUUGAGAAGGAAAAAAAAGUGUUUCAUGUUGGAUCUUCUUUGCAAAGAGCUCCUGCUGCUAUUAAGCCUUAAUACAAAUCUACUGAAUAUUUCCAGUAUCUGAGUUACAUGGGCUAUACAAUUGCGAACUACGGAAAGUCCCCUAUAUUAGCUGAUACUCUUGCCAAUGCUGCCAUACUGAAGAAAAUAUUCACUUGCGGGAUGCAUAAAUUGAUUAGAGAGUUUGCACAGAAUUUUACAAACGUAAGUUAUACAUUCUUUAACUUUAGUUUUGCAUAUAUUCUAAAAUAUUUCUUUAUCUUAUACAUCUUAAUUUUCUGUACAAAGAUGGUCUACAAGCCCUUUCUUGCAUCCAAAACCAUCAAAAGAUGGUGGAAGAACGUGACUCGGUAAGAAGUCAGCUCAGAAGGGUAAACAUUAAGAUCUCCUCUUUUGGUUCUGAUAUUACUAUGUACGUUGUGAGGUUCCAAUAAUACCUUGAGUGAGGAUUUGAAGGCCAAAGCGAAGAUGGUAUCUGAGCUUCAAAAGAAAUUGAAGGAUGCUAUGGAGGAUCAAGUCCAAUCCAAAUCUUCCAAGGACCUUACUGUGAAGCAGUCCGGGACUCCGAAGAAUGUUGUUGAGGUUUCUGAUAUUACCAUCACUACCCUGACGGAAGAGUUCAAUGUUCUAAAGAGUGAGAAUAUGCUACUAACUUGCAGACCGUCUAUUGUAGAUGUGACUAUUGAAAAUGAUUAACUUAGACAUACAAUAGAUAGAAGAGCAUGUGAAGCAGCAUUCUGGGAAAGCUGAGCGGAUUGUCGAGCUCGAGGCCCAACAAUAGUCAAAUUCCAACCUUCACCCUAAAUUCUUAAGCGCAACUUGACUGAGUAUAGCGAGCUAGUGUAAUUUAGCGUAGUUGUCUUCCGUGAAUUUGACGCUCCUCAAGUUCAUCAAUGGGUCUAGGAUAAUGUUAUGCUUGUUGAACACUAAAGGAAGAUAUGGGAAGAGGAGGAGGAAAGGAAAAAAUGUGAAGAUAUUGAGACCGUGAUCGGGGAUAAAUAAUUUUCUGUCGAGGAGCAAGACAAUGUACAUGAGGCCACGAUGAAGAAUCUUCUCGAUGUCGAUCUAUCUCCUCCUUUGGUUCUGAUAUUACUAUGUUGCAAGGUUCCAACAAUACCUUGAGUAAGGAUUUGGAGGCCAAAGCAAAGAUGGUUGCUAAACUUCAAAAGAAAAUGAAAGAUGCUAUGGAGGAUCAAGUCCAAUCCAAAGCUGCCAAGAACCUUGCUGAGAAGGAGUCUGGGACUCUGAAGAAUAUUAUUGAGGUUUCUGAUAUUACCAUCACUAUCCUGAUGGAAGAGUUCAAUGUUCUAAAGAGUGAGAAUAUGCUACUAACUUCCAGACCGUCUGUUGUAGAUAUGACUUUUAAAAAUGAUUAACUUAGACAGUAGAAAGAAAAGCAUGUGAAGCAGCAUUCUGAGUAAGCUGAGUGGAUUGCCGAGCUCGAGGCCCAACAAUAGUCAAAUUCCAACCUUCACCCUGAAUUCUUAAGCAACUUGACUGAGUACAAUAAGCUAGUGUAUUUUAGCCCAAUUGUCUUCCCUGAAUUUGACGCUCCUCAAGUUCACCAUUGGGUCUAGGAUAAUGUUGUGCUUGUUUAACACUUAAGGAAGAAAUGGGAAGAGGAGGAGGAAAGGGAAAAAGGUGAAGAUACUGAGACCGUGCUCAGGGAUGAAUAAUUUUUUGUCGUGGAGAAAGACAAUGUAGAUGAGGCCACGAUGAAGAAUCUUCUCGAUGUGUGUCUAUCAUCCCCCCUAGCCGAAAUCUUCCGCAGAACCAUCUCCUCCUAAGCAUGCUUCAGAAUGAAUAUUUUGUAAUAAUGUACAAUAUUUCUAACUCUUUUUUGUAAUAGCUAGGUAAGAUUUUUUGACAAUACUUUAGCUACUUAUGAUUGUUAAUAUUUUUUGUGAAAAGAUUAACACUUUUGUUAUCUUUUAACCAAUCACUUUUAUUAACUCGUAUUUUCGUAACAAAUUGUUAUUUAUAAUAAAUCUAGCUAGGUAACAAUUUUACAAAAAAAAAUCCUUAAUAUAUAACUCAUUUUUAACUAUAAUUGUACAUUAUCGACAUGCCAUGUGUUGAGAAUAUAACUUCCGUCCUUCCUCUUUACCUUAUAGGUUCUAGGUAGGAGUUCUUCGCCCAUUAUGUAGGGUCCUUCCCGAUUGGUUCCUAACUUUCCUUUCGAGCAAUUUUUCGAUUGAUACUUGCCUUCCCCAUGACCAUACUUACAUUUGUUAUUUCUUUAUCUUUGAGAUUUUGGUGGUGAUAUUUUACGAGGCUCUGUUUUGUAUGUGAUGAAGCACAGAAAAUGCUACUAGGGCUCGCGGUGGUGCGAGGUGAUGUAAGAGGCUCUGGAGUCCACGACGCGCGCUCUACAUCAAAUCUUCCAGGAGAUUAUAAUAGUAUAAUUGGAUAUUUGCUCCGUGCUCUGCUCUGGAUUGGAAUGGAACUGAUGCUUUGGAUUGUGCCCAGAGGACCCCUUUUAUAGGACCAUCCAGGCGCAAUCUGCGGCGGUGAUCGCGCAUGGUAUUAAUGGUACGUCAUUAAUGACGCGAGCUGGCACCGAGUAAUGGUCAUGAAGUUUGCGAUUUAGGGGGUGAAUUGGCGAUUUGGUGACAGAACCGGCGAGUUCAGAGAGGCGAGAUCGACAGCUUGCCAGUGCUGGCAAUCUCGGCCUCAACUCGGUGAUUUGACAGUACUAGUCAGUGAUUCACUAGUUCAACUUGGUGACUUGACGAAGACCAUCGUUCCAGAAUUGUGGGAGCCUUCCGGUGGUCCGGCGUUGAUGGGAGUGACUGGCGUUCACUCAUAUAUAAUCAGUAGUACUCCCCCUAAAGAGAGCAUGUGAUCAGGCAUGUACUGUCAAUAUCUCCCCCCAGGCAAGGUUAGGUGAAUCAUUAAGGCCAUAGCAAUAAAAUGAUCCACGAUCCAUUAAGGCCAAAGCAACAAAAUGGAUUUGAUUCUGGCCAAAGCGACAGAAUUAUAGUCCAACUCCGGCCAUAGCGAUUCAGCGACUUUUGAUCCUCAUCAAGGCCAUAUCGAUAAUAUGGGAUAGAAUCAUUAAGGACAAAGCGACAGAAUGAUCCUUGAUCCAUUGAGGCCAAAGCGACAAAACGGAUCUGAUUCCGACCAAAGCGACAAAAUCUGGUUCUAACCAAAGCGAUAGAACUACGAUUUAUUGUCCAACUCUAGCCAUAGCGACAGAGCGACUUUUGAUGCUCAUCAGGGCCAUAACGACAAGAUAAUUAUUAAGACCAAAGCGACAAAAUAAUUCUUGAUUCAUUAAGGCCAAAGCGACAAAAUAGAACUGAUUCUAGCCAAAGUGACAGAAUCUAGUUUUAGCAAAAGCAAUAGAACUAUAGUUUAUAGUCCAACUCCGGCCAAAGUGACAGAGUGACUUUUUAUAUCGCUUUGGCUAGAGAUCGUCACAUUUCGGGAGGGAGUAUCACAAACUCUCUCUGACACUUCUGUCGCUUCGGUCAGAAGUUGUCACGUUUUAUGCAGGUACUCAAGGGGAGGGUAUCACAAACUCUUCCCAUCACUUCUGUCGCUCCGGUCGGAAGUUGUCGAAUAUGAGCACCGUAAAACUGUCGCUUUGGCCAGAUUUAUCUAGGAUUUAUUCAAACAAAAGGAGGAGUAACACGAAAGGUAACAUCGCAUGGUAAGUUCAAUAAGUCUAUAUAAUAUGCGUUUUAGACUUAUUUAGUUGUUUUGCAGGAUGUUUUCUUUUUUGCAGGUAUGAUUCUGUCGCUUUGACCAGAACAGAUCUAUCUUAUUUCUUUGGCCUUGAUAGAUCAAGGAUCAUUUUGUCGCUUUGGCCUUAAUGAUCCUAACCCAUUAUUCCGCUUAUUUGCAUUGAUGGGUUAAUUGUCGUUGCAGACAUAAAGUCGCUCUUGAUCAAAGUUGGACUAGAAACAUUAGUUCUAUCGCUUUGGCUAGAACUAGAUUAUGUUGCUUUGACCAGAAUCAGAUUUAUUUUAUCGCUUUGGCAUUAAUAAAUCAAGGUCCAUUUUGUCGCUUUGGCCUUAAUAGACCAAGAAUUAUUUUGUCGCUUUGACCUUAAUAAUUCUCUCAUCUUGUCGCUUUGGCCUUGAUGAUACAACAAAAGUCACACUUGAUCACGGUUGUGUAGAAUCUAAAUUGCCGAUACAUAGUUUAUAUUGUUAAUCAUGUUUAAUUAACUCUAAUCAUGUUAUUAGUCAAUAGGGUGAAUUGAGAUUUUGAAUUAAACCUAAUCUCAAUUAGGCUCAUAUUAAACCCUAGAAUUAUUUGACCAUAUGUAAAUUAAGACAAAAGUCAAAACUCUAAUUCAUGGUCAACAAGUCAACACUUCUUACCAUGUGGUUAUUAUUAUUAUACUUAACCUUGAUUAUGCUUGAAUUAAUAUCUUUGAUCAAGGAAAUAGAUUACUCACAUGGGAUAAGAAAAUAUAUUUUUCUUGGAAAAAAUGGGAUGAGAAAAUGUGAUUUUCUUGGAUAAAGGAAUGUCUCAUACGUUGGAGACAAACAUGCUUUAAAAGCUCAAUUCAACAUGUUACCAUGUAACUAUUAUUAUUAUUUAAUCUUGAUUAUGUUUGAAUUAACAUCUUUUGAUGAAGAAAUUAGGUUAUUCACAUGGGUUGAAAAAAAGUGAGUUUCUUGGACAAAGAGAAUGACUCACAUGGAAGAAAGAGCUUACUCACAUGGGAUUAUGCACCCUCACAUGAUGAAGACAUCCACUUAUAGUCUUACACAUAUGGAGCUCUCUCACAUACAUUGGAGACAACAAGAAUCAAAUGGAUUAUUUCAAGAAUCAAAGAACUUAGUUUCUUAAUCCAAGAGCUUAUUUUCAUUGAAGAAAGAAAGAAUCUCCACCACAUUUUGGAUUCUUGUGAGAGAUCAAGGAACCAUUAAUUUAAGAUCUAAUAGAGGAGAUCAAGUGGCUCAUGCUAUAAAUAGAGGUGCAUACCAAGUGAAAACUUAACCACAACACAAGAGCUUUUCAAAUCUCUAAUUUGAGCUCCACAUUUCCAUUUUCAUCGUUCACCACCUUCAAAGCUUUCAAGCUUCCAACAUUCCAAGGUUGUGUCCAAGUGCUCCUUUGCUCAAAGCUCUAAAAGCUCUACACUUCUUCUUCUUCUAAUCUUCUUGAGUGAUCCAUGUCAAGUUGAAGUGCUGUCCAUAACUCUUACAUCUUUUUGUUGUGUGUUCCACUUUGGUUGAGAGAGGUUGUUCUCAAAAUUACCAAGGUGUGAAGUUAUUGAGUUGAACCAAAAAGCUCAGGUUGGUUUUAUAAAGUUUCCUGGUAAAACUCUUAGGUUGAAUCUACCUGUAAAGCUUCAAGGUUGGUUUUAUAGAGUUUCCCGAUAAUACUCUUAGGUGGAAUCUACUUGUAAAAGAUUCAAGGUUCUUGAGCGUGAUAACGUAGUAAAAGCUCUGGUUGGUUUUAUAGAGUUUUCUGGUAAAACUCUUAGGUGUAAUCUACCUGUAAAGGAUACAGGUUUGCCAAUACCUUUAGGCAAGUGAAUUUCGUGAGGGUACAUCACGAGACUGGAUGUAGGUCGGUUGAGACUGAACCAGUAUAAAUUUUUUAUGUUCUUUUAUUUUUCGUUUUCUAAAUCUUUAUACUCUAAUAAGUUAAAAGAAACAAAGAGAUCCCUCAUCCAGUUAUCUGGUCACAAUCUGAGGUUGACUACUUUAUUGUAGAAACCUCAUCCAGUUAUCUGGUCAUUAUCUGAGGUUACUUAAAGUUAAAUUUAUUAACCAGUUAUCUAAUUUUUAUAUACUUUAACUUAUACUACAACUUUUGUGCUUAUAAGAGAACUUAGUAUUUAUAUACUAUAGUUGGCUUAUAAAAUACUAUUAUUUGAGUUAAAGUCUUUAUCCAGUUAACUGAUCAUUUAUAAUAUAUUUUAGCUUCUAAUAUAACGUGUGCUUAUAAUAUAAUAUAGUAUUCAUAUACUACAGUUGUUUAAUCUGAUAAGUUGACUUAGUAUUUAUAUACUAUAGUAAACUUUGAAAAAAAAAGCAUUACGGUGUAUUAUAAAAUACAAUAUUAUAUUUACUAAAGUUAUAUAAUAAUAUAAUAUUACUAACAAUAUUAUAUUAUUAUCAUAUUGAUAUUGUAUUUCUUCGAGUGCUUUGCAGAUCUUCCACUACAAUCUGCAUUAAUCGAAAAGAGGCUAUUAACACGAUCCAACAGGUUGGACUAUAAACACGUAAUUCUGUGGCAAUUAGAUUUUGUCGCUUUGGCCAGAAUCAAUCCAUUUUGUCACUUUGGCCUUAAUGAAUCCGAAAUCAUCGUGUCGUUGUGGCCACAAUGAUUCGAUCUCAUCUUGUCCCUUUGGCCUUGAUGUGGAUCACACACACAACCUUGCUUGGGGUGGAUACUUGCGAUAUCCUCAUAUUUCUUGUGCUCUCUUCAGGAGGGAGUACUAGUGAGACAUGCCUGAUUACGUCAGUCACUUCCAACAAAGCCCUUUAACAAGGACUUGGGUUAUGUCACUAUAUGCCAGCCCCGGAAGGCUCCCAUCGUUAAAUCGACGAGUUAAACCGUAAAUCGCGAUUGGACUACCAAAUUGCCGACUUUAGUGGUAAAUCGUCGAGUUAGGACCCAGAUAGUUAGUAUGGUAGACUGCCGAUCUCACCCCUCAGAACUCGUCGAGUUUGCCACUAAAUAGGUGAUUCCAUACCUGAAUCACCGAUUUACGACCAUUACUCGUCGUCUGCCUGUGUCAUAAUGGGCCAUUAAUGCGCCCCGUUAUGGCAACAGGCGCGAUGCCUGCCGCAGAGUGCGCCCCCAAAGACCCUAUAAAAAGGGUCCUAAGAGGUCACUCCAAGGCAGAAUACAAGUUCCACCACAACUAGAGCAUUCACAGAGAGAAUCGCCGAUUCCCAUACUAGAAUCGCUUAUUCUCCUCUGACAGGAUUUGACGUAGAGCGUGUGUCGUGAACUCCAGAGCCUCCGGCCCUCCUCACAACCCCGCGAGCCCCUGAUAGCAGAUUUCGUGCUUCAUCAUAUCCUCUCUCCGAUCAUGUUUGGUCUGUCCGGCUCUUUUGGGUUCGUUCAUUUGUCCGUUCGACCAUAUAUACUUCGUCAAUGUCUCCUCUACUAGUUCAUAUGAUGUCGUCUUGGUACCUCUACAACACCUUAUUUUUUUACCGUGCGGCAUGUGAUCCCAUAUUUUUUCCGUACGUAACUGUCUGGAUUUCACUUGUCAAGUUUUCCUUUCUUCGCUACAACAUUGUCUUGUAUAGUCCGUACAUACCUAGGCUAUUUUUUCUUCGUAUGGAGCUAUGUUUUACACAUAUGGCCGCCCAGCUAUUGGUCAUUCUUUUUCUGACUGGAACCACAACUGGCCAUUUGGCUCUUUCUAUUCUGCCUGACCAUUUUUUUGAUGUGUUUCCGGCAGGUACCAUCCGUACGGGAUGGGAACGGGUUCUUAUGUUAGUCGAUUGAAAACCGGUCUUCCCCUUUCUCAUGUCUCUAUCUUCCGCACGGCUCCGGUUUCCCGCGGAGUUCCCCGCUUGGCGCUUGCUUGCGCGUCUUGGAGUACUGGUCGGGUUUCUCUGGUAGGUAUCAUCCGUAAAAGAUACGACCGGGUCCUCGUGUUGCGAGUCGAUUGGGUACCGCUCUUCCCUUUCCGUACCGCCCUGUAUUUAAUUUAUCUCCAAGCUUGAAUCAAUCCACCUCUUUGCUUUCAGACAAAAUUUCAUUUCUUUCACAUUUUCCCAGGUUAAAUUUCGAUUUCCCGAUAAAAAAUACUUUAUAUAUAUGCGCUUCUACCCCACUUCGUUUCAUAUUACUUCUCAUUCUUCUUUCUUUUUUUUAGAGCUUCUUAAACCUUCGCUCCUCCUCCACGUAUCGCUGAUCGUCCGCCAAUGUCUGGCCUCAACAACUUCAUCGAUGGUCUCACCCUUGACGGUAUCUCCCUUACUCACUCCGAAAAUCCUCCUGCCAUGACUGGCAUAUAAUUGCUCCCGAGGCCUCCACUGCUUAUGUUCGAGUUCCCGACGAUAAUCUUGCUUCUUCUUCUCCAGGCUGGCUAUACUUCUCUUUAUUCUGGUUGUGCAGAUGUCAGGUUUCAACUCCCUGCCUCCCCUUUUCUUUGAUCUAUUCUUUUGUAUACCGAUUUUGCUCUUUCUCAACUAUCGCCUUCCAGCCUCGAACGAGUGAUUAUAUUCUAGUUCUUGUAUUAUGAGUUGGAAGUUGUGCCGUACGAACAAGUUUUCCAGCUCAUUUUUUCCAGCCAAUCGUGUGAAGGUUGUUUCCGAGCGGAAUAAGAAGUAUUGUUUCAACAAUUUUGUCGAUGGGAUGCGCCAUGAGUGUGAUAUGGUUAAUCUCCAGGACCCCCUCUUUGAACCUGUUGGUACCAGGGCCCGUCCAAACGGACCCUGGGCCGAACACGACUGUUGGGCCCAGUAGGCUCAGGGAGAUAGGUUAUAAAUACCUCUCCAUGUGCAACAGGGGAGGGGGUGGAUUAUUAGUGAGAGAAAUACUAGAGAUUUGUGUAUGUGAGCACCCUAGCGCGAUCCCACAUACCAUCAAAACCUGUUGUUAUUCCUGUCAAUGAGGACCAGGGGAAAUAGUCGAAAGUCAAUGGUAUUCUGGACGAACAUCCUACCUGGCCGUAGUCUCUAGAUGAUUUGGCUAGUUCCUCUUAAAUGUUUUUGUUCGGUGAACUUUGUACCUUUUUUUUUUGCUUGAACUUGCACUUUUUUAUUUAAGUCACGAUUUGGCCAUACGGCAUUGUUUACUUGUGGGCCAGGUGGCUUUGUUAACUUGUAAUACCAUUCUGGAAUUUGUAUUUAGGCCGGAGGGCUCUUCGAGCGGUCCUUGGACAUAGAUACGUACCAUUCGAUUUUUCUAUACGGCUUUUUAUACAUGUUACUUUUUGCUGAUUGAUAGGCUAGUAUACCGGAUGGCCUAUGUGCGGUCCUUGGACCUAGAUAUCGUCUGGCUUUUUCGUAAUAAUUUUAUUUAGACGAGUAGGUCGGACGGACUUUUGAGCGAUUUUCUUUUGACCUAAGGAUCCCUUGACUUUUCGACGGCUAACAUACUUUUUGAAAAAGAAAAAUUAUAUAUCUAAGCCGGACUACCUUCUAGGAGCCUUUAGACUUAAUGCUUGUCCGGCUUUUUUGUUAUUAUUUUAUAUACAUAUACUACAACAUAUUACUGAAGGUAUUUGGAUAAGCUAUCUGAGUGUUAUGUUCUCUUGAUUUUUUGUUCAUCUUCGAACGCUAGCUUAUAAAUUCCCAGACAGAUUUCUUCAAUUACUACAUACGAGCCUUCCCACCUUGGAGAUAAUUUUCACUUUGUUUGUUCCAGUCCAGUCAUCCUUCCGUUCCGAAGCACCAGGUCUCCUGGGUGUAUCUUUUUUUCACUUACAUUUUAAUUAUGGUAACGUGUGGUUCUCCUUUUGUAAGUUAGGUCUCUUACUGUUAUCGCUUCCCUCAAUUCUUCGCAUUUCUCGUGGACCAUCAAUAUUUUCAUAUUGUUAUUGGUUGGGUUGAAAUUUUCUACUCUAGCCGUCGGCCAAACCAGUUUGGUUGGGGCUACUGCAUUUAUUCUGAAUGCGAGAGUAAAUGGUGGAUGUCCAGUAAGGGUCCAUAGGUUGUUCGAUAUGCUCACAUGACUUUUGGUACUAGGUCCGCCCAAGUCCCUGGAUUGUCUCUUACUUUUCUUUUAAAUAUAAAUGUUAUAGUACGAUAUGUGACUUCAACCUGUCCAUUUGCUUGUGGAUGGUACACUGGUUCAAAGCUAAGUUUUAAUUAUCCCAUUAUCUUCACAAAAUUUCUUUAAUUUGUUUCCUGUGAAUUGUGGUCCGUUGUAUGUUAUUAUUUGCAAUGGAACCCCAAACUUGCAUAUUAUGUUUCUGAAUAUGAAUUAUAUAACAUUUUGUUCUAUGAUUGUGCUUGUUGGUUCGGCUUCUGCCCAUUUUGUGAAGUAAUCCACUGCUACGAACAAAAAAAUUCACCCUCUAGAUACCACCGAAAAAGGUCUCACUAUAUCUAGCCCCCUCCGGGAAAAUGGUACUAGUCUAGAGAUAGUUUUCAUUAUGCUGGACGACCUUCUUUGUAUAUGUGUGUGCUGUUGGCACUCCUUACAUCUUCUGACUAGAUUUUCUACGUCCUUAUUUAGCAAGGGCCAAUAAUACCCUUGUCUCAUUACUUGCAUUCCUAGUACCUUAGCUCCCCGGUGUAGACCACUUGCCCCACUAUGGGCGCUAAUAAAAAUUUCUUUUUCCUCUUCCUGUGCUACGCAUAGUCGUAGGGGAAUGUUAUCUUCUACUGCCCUACGGAAAAGAUUUUCCCCUACUACUGUGAACCAUGCUGCUUUGUUUCUAAUUUUUCUUUCCUCCAUCGGAUCCGUAGGGAUUUCUCCUUUUGUUAUAUAAUUUUUUAUUGGUGUUCUCCAGUCUUCCUUGUCCGAUAAUGUUAGAACUUUGCUUUUUCUUCCUUCGUCUCACUGGUGGUACUUUCUGCUGUUCUAUUUGGACCGAACGACCUCUAGGAUUUCAUUGAGAUGCUCCCAAUCUGGCUAAAAUAUUUGCUUCUUUAUUGUCCGUACAUCUUGUGUGAAGAAGUUCCCAUUCUAAAAAGAGUUUCAUUAUGUUCCGUACAACCCUAUAUACAAAGUCAUUCCAAUCUUCAUUUAAUACAAACUCGUAUGUUACCUGGUUUGCCACAAGGUGAAAAUUCGCAUGGAAUUUUGCUCGUCUAGCGCCCAACGCAUGUGCCAGUCGUGCACCAGACAACAAUGCUUCGUAUUCAGCUUCAUUGUUUGUUGUUCUAAAACCAAAGUUCAUUGUAUGCUCUAUUUUUUUGCUCGUUGGUGUUUGAAUUACAACUCCAGCUCCGCAAUCGAUAUUGCUUGCUGACCCAUUGACAUGUAUUAUCCACCAUUCCUUUUUAUCUAUUGUAGGUGUUGGUGCCCAAUCUGCCAAGAAGUCAGCUACGGCUCAUUCUUUAAUUGCUUUUGCAGGUAUUAUGUUAAUGUGGAAUUCGCUUAAUUCCACUGCCUAUUUCGUUAAUCUUCUUGAUACAUCUGGUUUUUGUAGAAAUUGUAGUAAUAGAUAUUCUGUUGGGAUAGUGAUUAGGUGUGCUUAAAAAUAUGGUUUUAAUCUUCUUGCUAUCGUUACUACAGCUAACCCUAACUUUUCGAUUUGUGGGUACCUUGCUUCCGCAUCGCAUUCUAAAGGGAGCGUGAAUAAUAGUAAAUUGGCUUUUGUACUCCUCUUUCUGAUAUGACUACUGUGCUGACGGCCGUAUCGGAUACAACUACAUAUAAUUUGAGUGGUUCUCCUGCCACUGGUGGUUGUAGAGUUGGUAGAUUUUUCAGUUGUUCUUUUAGCCGUUCUAAUGCUUCGUCACAUUCACUUGUUCAUACUAUUUUUGCACUGGUCGAUUUUAUCAAUUUAAAGAAAGGUUGUAGUGUUUCUGUCCCUUGGGAAAGGAAACGGCUAAGUGUUGUUACUCGUCUGUUUAGUUUUUGUACCUCUUUUAUGGUUUUUAGUUGAACCAUUGAUGUUACUGCUUCUACUUUUUCCGUGCGGGGUUUAAUUCCGUGCGGAGUUAUUUUGAAUCUUAAAAAAUGUCCUUCUGUGACUCCGAAGGCACAGUUCUUUGAUUUUAAACAUAAGCAUGCCUUCCUUAUGUUAUUGAAAAUUUCUUGAAGAUCUCUCAGAUGCCGUAUAGAUUUUUUAGAACAAACUAAAAUGUCAUCUACAUAUACUUCAAUAUUUUUCCCGAUUUGAUCCUUGUAUACUUGGUCCAUCGUUCUUUGGAAUGUUGCACUUGCAUUUCGUAAUCCGAAAGGCAUUACCUUAUAAUAAAAUAUUCCGAUAUAUGAUAUGAAUGAUGUUUUCUCUUCAUCUUCUAUGGCCAUGGGGAUCUGGUUGUAUCCUGAGUGUGCAUCUAUAAACUUAAUAAUUUGCAGCCCGACGCCCGGUCGACGAGGUGGUCGACUGAUGGGAGUAGAUAUGAAUCAUUCGGGCUAGCCUUUUUUACAUUUGUAAAAUCAACGCACAUUAACCAUCCUCCGUCUACUUUUUUUACCAUUACUACAUUUGAUAACCAAUUAGAAAUAAGAUUCUCAAUGACAUAUUUAGUUGUUAAUUAACUAUAAAUACAGUAAACUCUAAUUAACAAGAUAUAUAAAUAUAUGAGUUAAAGUUACAUGAAUAAAUCUAUCAAACUCAUAUAGAUAAAAUUGCCUUGAUAUAUGAUUAAACUAAAGUGAGAUUAGUAUUAAUUAUUUCCAUCAAACAAAUCUCCAUUAUUAAUCAAGUUAAUUAUUAAAGCUUAUAUUUUAUUAUGCACGCCUACUUGGUUGCAUUAACUCUUGUGUAAAUUGAUCAAUGACUUAAAGGUUAAUCAAGAAGGUGUGAAAACUAUAACUAUUUACUCAAGCUUCAAAUAGACCCAAGAUGUAAAAAACGUAUAGAAGUGCAAUCAUGAUAAAGUUUCCAAGAACAUAUCAACGAGUUCAACCAUAAAACUCAGUGUGGUUCUAUAGAGUUUCUAGGAAAACUCUUUGAUCGAAUCUGCCUUAAAGGUUCAAGGGUUUUAAGAGUUCCUUAAUACUCUUAGGUGGUUCACAAGGAUUUUGCCUUAAAGCUUGGCAGAAGUUUUUAAGAGUCCCUUCAUACUCUUAGAGUGUUCACAAGCGUUUAGCCUUAAACUUGGAAGAGGUUUUUAAGAGUUCCUUGAUACUCUUAGGCGGUUCACAAGCGUUUAGCCUUAAAGCUUGACAGAGGUUUCGCUAUUACCUUCAGGCUAGUGAUCUCCGUGUUUCAUCGGAACUGGAUUAGCCCUUGUUUGGGUGAACCAAUAUAAAAAUCUUUGUGUCUCUUUUACUUUACAUUUUCUAUUUCUAACAAGAUGAAAAACAACUAAAAAGAGAUCCAUUAUCCAGUUAUCUGGUCAUUGACUGAGGUUAUUUUCAGUACAAAUAUAUCAGGUCAUCUGGUCACGUAUACUUAAAUAUUUUAACUUAUAUUAUUUUCUUGCUUAGAAGAUAACUUAGUAUUCAUAUACUACAGUUAGCUUAGAAAACUUUUUGUCAAGUUAGAAUAUAUAUAUCUGUUCAUUUACUUUUACACGUAUGUCUAUAUAAUUUAGUAUUCAUAUACUACAGUUAUAUAGAAGUCACAAUCUUAUAAGUGGACUCAAUAUCUGUAUACUGCAGUAAACUUAUAAAGAACAGACAACCUAUAUACAUAUCUUUGCGUUUAACUUGUAUUCUCAGGUAUUCCGCACAUCUUCUGAAAAAUCCCGAAAAGAGGCUAUUAUCCCCCCCUAAGCCUCUGAUCUAGAUCCAACAAGUGGUAUCAGAGCCAAGUAGGUUAUUAACAGCUUCACAUCUGUUUCUAACAUUGCACAAGUAGAUCAAGGAUAUCAGGGUUUCGCAUCAAACAAACCUCCUAUUUUCGAUGGAACCAGCUAUGAAUUUUGGAAAAAGAAAAUGAGGAUACACAUAAUAUCGUUGUACAGUGAGAUAUCGAGAGUUACCAAUGAAGAAUAUGAACCUCCAACCACAAAAGAAGAUGAAUGGACUACUCUCGACAAACAAACAUGGACAUUCAAUGCAAGGGCAAUGAAUGCACUGUAUGGAGCAUUGGAUGAAUCAGAGUAUAGUUCCAUCCGGGUAUUUGACACAGCUCAUGAUAUUUGGAGACAACUAGAGACCAUUUAUGAAGGUACAUCUCAUGUAAAGGAAAACAAGUUUCUGCAUGCUCACAGGGAAUAUGAGAACUUCACAAUGAAGGAAGGAGAGACCGUCGCCGAAAUGAACAAGAGGUUCAUCAAUAUUAUCAAUUAUCUAGCCGGUCUGGGAGAACCUGUUAGUGAGAAAAAUCAAGUUGGAAAGAUUAUAAGAAGCCUUCCUGACAAGUAUGACUCAAAAAGAGAUGUCAUCCAAAAAGCUCACGAUUUGAACAAACUUCACGUAGUAGAGUUAGUCGGAAAUCUGAUGGCAUACGAGCAAAUGAAGUUCACGUCUAAAAAGAAGCAAAAAGAUGAAAAGAAAAAUCUAGCUCUUCAAGCAUCUUCUAAAAACAAUAGUCUGAUGAGGAUGAACUCGCACUCAUCACAGCCAAGCUCUACAGGCUGAUCAAGAAAAGAAAAGAAUCUAGAGCACAUCACAGGUCACAAAAGUCAGACCAAAACCAAGAAAAGAAGGAAGACAAUUUUAAAGAUAUCAUACGUUACAAAUGCAACAGGACUGGACUGACUCUGAUGCUGCUCAUCAAGUAAGCUGGUCUAACUCUGAUGAAGACUCCGAGGUUGCUGAAUGUUUGAUGGCCAACGACUCAGAUAACCAGGUUAACAUUUAUGAUUAUCAAAGAUUAGAAACUUCCUAUUUAGAACUAGCUACAAAAUAAAGUAGGCAGUUCGGACGAAGCAAAUUUAACGGAAUUUCCGUUACAAAUACUUAUUACCAAAGUUAACGGAAUUUCCGUUAACUUUGCUAUUUCGGUUACAAAUACUAGAUAUCAAGAUGGACUUAUAUAUUGUAAAGGAUUUUUUUAACUAUUUUUAACGGAUAUUCCGUUACAAAUAGCAAUUAUUUAAUAAUUUUCAUAAUUAGGGUUAGGGUAAAUGUAAAUAAUUAGGGUUAGGGUUAGAGUAAAUGUAAAUAAUUAGGGUUAGGGUUAAGGUUAGUGUUAGGGUUAAUAGAAAUUAAUAAAUAUUAACAAAAAUUAGUAAAAAUAAGUAUAUAUACAUAUUUAGAUAGUGUUAGAGUUAAAAGUUAGGGUUAAAAGUAAGAGUUAGAGUUAGAAGUUAGGGUUAGAAGAAGUUAGAUUAUAGUUUUUUAGAUAUUAUAAAUUAUAAAAAAUUUAAAGUUAGAUUAUAAUUAGAUAAUUAUAAAAAUUUAAAUUAUAAAAAUUAUAAAUUCAAGUUCAUUCAGAUAUUUUAAAUUUUAAAGUUAAAAAAUAAAUUUAAAGAAGGUAUUUUAAUUUUUAAAGUUACAAAUUCAAGUAUUAUAAAAGUUAUUUUAAAUCAUAAAAGUUAUUUUAAAUUAACAAUUAGUGAUUUUUUUAAAAUUAUAAAAAUAUCAAUUUCUAAUAUUAACUUUAGUAGGUUAGGGUUAGUCUAAUUUAAUAAUUUUUAAUUUUUAAAUUCUAAAAUUCAAUUAAAUAAAUUAGAUAUUUUAAAACUUAUAAAAUAAGUUUAUUUUAAAUUAAAAAAAAAAAAUUUCAUCAUAAAUUAAAGUUAUUUUUGAUAUUUUAAAUUUAAAGUGAAAAAUUAAAUUUAAAAAAGUUAUUUGAAGUUAUAAAUUCAUUUAUAAAUGUUAUUUUAAAUUAUAUAUCCUAAAAAGUUAAAAAUUAACAACAAGUAAUUUUUUAAAAAUUAUAAAAAAUAUCAAUUUCUAAUAUUAACUUUAAAAUUUUAAUAAAUUUUAAAUUCGAAAAUUCAAUUAUAUAUUAACUUUAUUUUAAAUGGUUAUCAACUAAGUUUAAAUGGAUAUUUUAAAUUAAAAAAAUAAAAAUAAAAACCUAAACUACUAAAACCCCAAAUCGUGAUUUCAUCCUGAAACCUACUCCCAUCGAUACUUCCUGUCCGGCGAUUCCAACCUCUCAGGCGAGGAGCAAGCAACUUCCUUCACCGUUUCCUGUCCAUUCCUGUCCGGCGAGCAACUUCCCGUUGAUACCUCCCGUCCAUUCCUGUCCGGCGAGCAACUUGCGGCUACAUCUCCAGUUCUGUCCGGCAAGGUUAGGCUUCCAUCCGGCGAACGUCGACGACUUCGGUUAGGCUUCCAUCCGACUCAGGUUAGACUCCACAACCCAUCUUUGGGUUCUGAAUUUUUUUCAAUGUUUAAUCAAUAUCGAUUUAGGUUUUCCAUUUCACUUUCUUUUCAUUUCAAAAUUCUUUGGGUUUUCCUUUUCCCGAAAUUAAAAUCUCAACUAGUAUAUCCAGAAAUCAUCACCUAUUUUCCCCAGUACAUGUCCCCCAAUAUAGUUUAGAGUUUAGAAAAAUAAAUUGUGUAUUUCCCCAAUACGCAAUUACAACUGGAGUGUUGUGGGAAUUAAGGGAUUGAGGAUUGAUUCUCUCCAUUAAUGACUCAUAAAUCCUUUAUUGCCCAACUCUAAAUUACUGUCUCAUACCAUCUGUCUAUCUAUCUAUUAGUUGAUGUUAUACCAUCUGUAACAGUUUUAUACAACCAGAAGAGCUUGCAGAGACAACCAUGUCUGAAUUUUCCCUCCAACAUACACUGGAAACGAAAUGUCCAUUGUCAUAAGCACUCUCUUGGUUGGAUAUUGGAUCUAUAGAACUAAACUUGUGUGAAGUUACCAAAUUUCUGUUAAUAAUUAAGCAAGAAGCUAAAAAUAAAAUGAUUUCUUAUUAAUGAAUUACAAUCAGUUUAUAAAGUUUAAUGACACUUGAAAUUGAAAAUAUAUAGUUUUAGUUUGUAGAUAUAUGACAUUGUAGUAUAUAAAAAUAGAAAGAAUGAGAAGAAAAAUCAUACUUCAUUGAUAUUCCAAAGUUUGACAGGAACAAUAUGAAAUCCGAAUGUUGGAUUUUAAAAUAGGAAUAAUAUUAAAAUAUGUAAACAUGAAUAAUUAGGAAUAAUCAAAAACAGAAAUAAUUAGGAAUAAUCAAAAACAGGAAUAAUCAAAAAACAAAGUAGCCAUGCUUAUUCCCAUAUGUUGGGUUUUAAAACCAAAACCCCUAAAACUUGAAGUUAAAAGCCCCAAAUCAUGUUUUGAAGUUAAAAGCCCCAAAUCGUGUUUUGAAAUUAAAAGCCCCAAAUCGUGUUUUGAAGUUAAAAGCCCCAAAUCAACCUACUCCCUCCCGUUGAUACUUCCUGUUGUCCGGCGAGCAGCAGCGAUACCUCCAGUCCGGCGAGCAGCAGCGAUACCUCCUGUCCGGCGAGCAGCAACGAUAUCUCCAGUCCGGCGAUACCUCUAGGCCAUUCCGUUUAUUUCACCUCCAGGUAAGAUCGAUUUGUUUCCAUUCUUGAUUCAUAUGUUUACUUCACCGAUUAUUUAUGUUUUUGUUCUUGAUUCUAUUUUUAAUAGUUGUUCUUCAUUAUUCCGUUGUUGAUUCUAUUCUUAAUAGAUGUUUUUCUUUUUUUCUGUUGACUUUGACAUGGUUCAAGAGCAUCAUCCCUCAUGUCUAGUGGCCAUGGUUUAUGACAUGGUCAUAGACUAUAGAUAAGAAUCUGUAGAACCAAAAUGUCUCUUUCUUGUGCUGUAUGAAUCUAAGCUGGGAUGCUGGUCAUGGAAUAAAUCUCUAAGUUCUCCUCAAAUUCUGAAGAAUCCUCUUGCAUAAUAGUCUAUGUGUUUGUAAAUCCUUAUCUGUGUGUUGCUGGAAUUUUAAAUAACUCUAUUUCCCACUUCAUUAUUUAAUCCAAUGAUCUGUUUGGAAUUUUAGAAGAAUGAAAUUCAGAUUUGACCAUUAAAUUCAGAUUCCCACUCCAGUCCUCAGUCCAGUGGCCAUGGUUUAUGACAUGGUCAUAGACUAUAGAUAAGAAUCUGUAGAACCAAAAUGUCUCUUUCUUGUGCUGUAUGAAUCUAAGCAGGGAUGCUGGUCCUGAAAUAAAUCUCUAAGUUCUCCUCAAAUUCUGAAGAAUUCUCUUGCAUAAUAGCCUCUUGUAUAAUAGUCUAUGUGUUUGUAAAUCCUUAUCUGUGUGUUGACUCUCACCUAGCUGAAGUUCGUCUAAGAAUAAUAAAUAUUUAGGCACCUAAACUGACUAGAUGAUGACAAAAAUAUGUUAUAUGUUGCUGGAAUUUUAAAUAACUUUAUUUCCCACUUCAUUAUUUAAGCCAAUGAUCUAUUUGAAAUUUUAGAAGAAUGAAAUUCAGAUUUGACCAUUAAAUUUUUAGUUUGCUAAAAUAUUUUCAUUUAAAUGAAAACUAAAGUAAUAUUUUCAUAAAAUAUCUUAUCCCUGCUUAUAUGUAUGAAAACUAAAGUAAAAUUGUAAUACGAUUUCAUGUUACUUAUCCUACUAUGCCAAAAUAAUGUAGUUUGUUUGUAUAUAGAAAAUUAGGCUAGUCAUUAAGAGGUUGCCACUAAGUUUACCCAAAAGAUUUUAAAUGUUAUUUUAUAGUUAUUUCAACUCUAUCCUACUUUUGUAGUUCUAUACUUCUAUUAUCCGUUCUGUUUUCAUGAUUUGUUGUAUUCACAGAUUAUAAAUGGCACCCAAAAAAACAUUGGUUAGUAAGAAACGACGACUUACACGAAGUUCUGUCGACCAUGACGAACCUUCUUCAAGUACUCAUGUUCCGACUGCAACUUUCUAUUGAGAAAGAAAAAGAAAAAGAAAAAAUGAACGAUCAAAUGGAGAAGUUAAUAGAGGUAUAUGUAUGAAAAUCAAUAAAAUUUUAAAGUAAUACAUAAAUAUAAAUGAAUCUUAAAUGUUUUACAGGAUAAUCGAGUUUUAAAAAGGAAAUAUGAUGAAAUGUUUGAUAUGUUUGAAGACCUGAAGAAAACAGUUUUAUCCCAAUCAAAUACAACUCCACAACCUUCAGAUCGUGGAUCGUUGCAAGAUAGAAGUAUUAAUGAAGGUCAGAACGAUCAAAGAUAUCAAACUCCUCCAUCCAAAUAGGUCUUCCAUGUUAUUUUUGUUGAAUGUUAGUUUUGUUGAAUGUUAGUUUUGUUGAAUGUUAAUUUUGUUGAAUGUUAGUUUUCUUGAAUGUUGAAUGUUGUAUUUGUUGAAUGUUGUUUUUGUAUUGAAUAUUUGUUAAAUAUUGAAUGAAUUUACAGGAAUUAAUAUUAAUUGAAUGAAUUUACAG
rnacentral:lncRNA from 1 species